rnacentral:lncRNA from 1 species
AUUCCAUGGCUGAAUGUUAGAAUUAACGCCAUGAGAUUGAGGAGGUUGUGUCCAGAAUAAAAUUGCCCCAUGCGUGGUCAUGUUUUGAGUAGGAAGAUACUGACUGGGCACAUUCAUCUCAUGCAAUGGAUGAAAGUCUGAUGAACUUGCACCUACAGUGCUUAUGGCAUUAGAGCUCAGGUAUGGCAUGGCAAGAAAUGAAGUCUCUCUCCAACCAUCUUCAUUGCUUGCAAUCACAGGCUGACCAUCUUCAUUGCUUACAAUCACAGGCCGACCAUUGCUUAUGGCAUUAGAGCUCAGGUAUGGCAUGGCAACAAAUGAAGUCUCUCUCCGACCAUCUUCAUUGCUUCCAAUCACAGGCCGACCAUCUUCAUUGCUUGCAACCACAGGCUGAUGCAGACCCACUUCAUCGUUAUCUGGUCUGCUGCUCGAUUCCACCACUGUUUUACCCUUCAUCGCCUUUCGGGCUUCCGAUCUCACUCGGCCAUCAACAUCCUUGCAGUCAUUGAUCCCAUAUCCUCCAACUCCGGCUAAGUGGGCCUUGAUCCUGGUCGCGCUUCCAGCAUACGGCUUCCCACAGAAGUUGCAGUUCCAGUGUUUGUUAGGCAGCAAUUUCACAUACUUCCAAAAGGGGUCCGUCUCUCUAGGCAUUUUCUCUGUAUCCCACAAAAGAAUGGACAGAUAAGUUUCAAGGAAGACCUUGAAUUUUUUGGGUGAAGAAUGACGCCGAGGCCUGUAAGAUAUUUAAUUAAUUUCGGACUUAGGAAUUGGGUCAAAAUCUUCAUCAAUCCCCAAUUCUUUUAGAAAAAGGCCCUGCUUCAGUGACCCCCACCCUCAUUUCUACCCAAGUUCUCUUUUCACUCUCAGAUAUGAAGAUGACAUGUUUGACUGGGUUCUGGAAAUUUUGCUCUUCAAAUUUGUAACUACUCUUUUGUUUUUUUUUUUUUUUUCAAUGUUAUCUUAUCUUUGGGAACGUGGUUUUCUUUCUUGUUCAAUGCUCAUGGGUGUGCACGCUCUUUCUUGGGUAAUCUCUCUAUCAUGCACUCUCCCUUCAGCCCCUAAUCUUGCCCCUUGCCUCCGCUUACAGCAAAAUUUCAUGGCCCGGGCUCAGCUGCAGCCUCAAGUUUUUCCAUUUACUUGGUUGGGUUCUUUACAAACUAAUUCUAAGGAUACAUGGUAAACUCUCCAGUUUACAAGCAUCAAGUAUGACUUGACCGGUGGCUUCCAAAAGCUAGUUUGAGUUGAGAUUUGCAACGUAGUUCAGACAUGGCUCUAUAGCAUCUGGGACGAAGCACCUGACUGACCACUCAGCUAAUUAUGAAAUUUAUUUUUGAUAAAGCAAUAAAAGUCUUCGUUCUGGGCUCACCGGCACCAUUAUGUAGUAGAGAAUACAUCCCGAUAAAAAGAAAAUCAACAAAACCCAGACAACCCAUGAAUCGACGAUUACGGAGCGACAUAAACUAGAGGACAUGAGACCGAAGUGCAAAAAUUUGGGUUCACAGGAGAGAAAUGGGAGAACGAAAAGGGAGUAGAGAGAUUGAGAGAGAGCGAGUACCUCCGAGCCGGUGAGAAGAGGGCUUGGGGUUGAAUCCCUUAAGAGAGCGUCCGCGAUGGGAAACGAGGUUAGCUGAAGCGGAGGAAAAAACUGGGGGCAACCCUCUGGUUUUGUGCAGAGGAAGGAGCCGAACACCUCGACGGACAUCGGAGACCUGCCUGGGACGAUCUAUAUAUAAUAAUCUUAAAACGUCUAGGACGUCUCAAGAAAAAGGUAAUCUACAUGUAUUCCGGAUGGGUGGGUUCACACUUGACUAAGCAAAACGUUUCUGACUGUCCAGUAGAAAGUAAGGCCUUUAUUUAUAAUAAUAAAAAUUAAGAAAACGUCUAAAACGCCUCAAGAAAAAGGUGAUCUAUAUAUAUAUAUAUAUAUAUAUAUAUAUAUAUAUUAUAUAUUCCGGAUAGGUGGGUCCAUACUUAGACUAAGAAAAAGUUUCGACUGUCCAGUAGAAAGUAAAGCCUUUAUUUAUAAUAAUAAAAAUUAAGAAAAUUUCUAAAACGCCUCAAGAAAAAGGUGAUCUACAUAUAUGUAUAUUUAUUUCGGAUGGGUGGAUUGUACUGACUAGGCAAAACGUUUUCACUGCCCAAUAGAAAAUCUAUCACUUUUUUUUGGAAAAAAAUCUAUUACUGACUCCACAAACAAAUUCAGUCGACGAAUGUUAAUAUGCCUAGAUUAUUAGAAUUAUUUUGAUCAUAUUUCUGACUAUCACAAAAUUUCAAUCAGCAUUUAAGCACCAAAAAAAAAAAAAAAGGAUUCGUCAAAAAAAAAGGAUUCUCACGAGUCCGCUCAAGGUUGGUUGACCCAAAGCAACGUGAAAAUUUUUGGGUCCAAGUUGAAUAGACUCGAUUUUUUGGCAGGUCAGGAAAAAUGUUUCGAGGGUGGAUUUCUUUUUUUUUUCCUCAUCGAAAGUAAAUAUUUUAUUCAUAUCUCGAAAUGAUAUAUAAGAGGUUUAAAAUAAACAUAUUCCAAAAAGUAAAACAACAAAACACAAAAUUGCUAUGAUUGGCACACUUUGAUUUUACAAGAAUGAAUUUGUCUCAGCAUCAAAACAUAACAAAGGGCAAUCGAUUACUAAAUCCCACAUCAUCCACCGUAAUCCCCUUGUUUAUUCAAUAGACGGUGCACGCUUAAGUUCAGCAUUUUAACACCACUAUCAUACAAAUACACUAAAAAUAAGUUGAAAAAAGCUCCCAAAUCUAAAUCUAGAUAGGAUGAGGUUGGACAAGCACAAAAACACCUCUAAAGAAUUCACAAAUUUAGAUUUAGAUCGGAAGAUAAAAGCUCCUAAAACUCGGAUAAGUCACUGCUUCCAAGGCAUUAGGAACUCAUCUUAUUUCUUCUCGAUUUUGUUAACCUUCUUAAUUUGGAGGAUCUCAAGCAAUGGAUUGAUAUCAAACGAUGAAAGCAAAAAAUAUGCCAAGAGAGCAAAGAAGAGUAUGGGUAGUGAGCUAGGAAAAACAAAAAAGAUUAGAUGAAAACAAUAAAACAUUCUCGGAUCAUAUCAGGAUAAAUAAUCUUAGUUGAGAAGAUGGAGCCUCCCUUUGACUGACCAUUAUUUUUCAGGCUUGAACGGGAACAAAUUUAAUCAUUGUUUUAAAUUCCUCCGGCUCUUAACGAAUGCUAAAAGGAUUGGUGUUUUUUAAUUUCAAACAAAUUCUGGUUCUUUUUCUCCAAUCAUAUCCUUAAUUUUAAUUUAGAUUUCAAUACAUAUUAUUAUUAUUAUUAUUUUAUUUCUCUUCCCCUGCCAUCCACUAAAUUCAUCAAUAACCGAAAUUUAUGUUGGGAGUUAGCCAAGGAGAUCGAGAGGGAGAAAUGAAAUAGGGAAGGGGGUGUAUCAGCCUUGACAAGACAUGAUUGCGAGAAAGUAGCAAAUCACGGCGGCGGUGGGGCUCGAGAGGGGGAGGACGGCAGGCCCCUCGGCGCAUGCACCGCCAUCCCUCUCUCUCCAAUGCGGUUGGGUCUUGCGACGUCAGCAAUUGGUGAGGCGGCCCGCACAUUUGUGCUGACCCGGAGCUCCAUUCGGCAGCUCCGUGUCCCCAUGCUUUGCUACUAAUCGAUCGGCAAAUUGGCCAAUAACAUUAUUAUCCUUCUCAGAUUCAAUACGCGCGCCCUUCUCUUCACAUCCUUAUCAUUUGAGAGAUCAUCUAAUCCAGCUACAUUGACAAUCUUGUCUUGUGGUUCAUAGAUGCUAAACUCCUAAGAUACAAUGACCGGAACACAUCAUUAACAUGACUUUCUUUACUAGUAGGCAUUUAUGGAACAAGGGGAGUUGGCACCCUUGAGGGUGUCUAGGCGAGUCUCUAGAGAGCUCAUUGGAUCUUGCCCAAUCAGUCGUAAUGAUCGUCACCAGUGGAUGGCGGCAACUGUGGCAGCCAACGGCAGUAAUGGUAGAAGGAGAAAAGAGAAGGAAGAAGAACAAGAACAAAAGAAGAAGAGAAAAGAAAAGAAAAAAAUUUGGAUUGCUUAAUUUUGAAAUUGUUCUCAAGAACAAAGAAAUAACUCUAUUUUACUCAUUGAUUUUUGUUCUCGAGAACAAAAAUUUACCAAACAAACUUCUGUUCCAAAACUAUUCCUGAAAAAAAAAAUAAUAAAAAUUGUUAUUAUUUGACAAGUUGCCGAACGCGUUCUAAGACCUACACAAUAAAUUGGUUUACUUAGUGAUGGGACAAUCUGUAAUUAGUUAUUUUCAUUAGCAAAAUCUUUUAACCACCCAAUAGAAAAUCCGUCACUUGACUUGGCCAACAAAUUUAGGCCCCGAGUGUUAUUAUGCCUGGAUUGUUAGAAUUAUUUUGAUUAUAAUCAAAAUCCCACACAUUUUUGUUCAAACACAACAUCCACGUAGGAAAACUAAACUCUUUCAAAACGUCCUUUAGUAUGUUGGUCCAAAGCUUAUGAUCAAAUUCCUACAUUUUCUUCUAAUCUUGUUUCAUCGCAUGUGAACCGUCUACUGUAGCGUCUUAUAUAAAUCAGCGGUUGACGCAUUAGCAUUGCAUCGUAUUACGUUGAUCCGUGAGCUUUAUUUUCAUGUGAGAAGGAAGUUGUAAAUUUUACGUGUGUAAAGUAAAUGGUUUGGGAAUUAUUUGGCAUUAACUUUUCCACCAGAUGAAAUUUUUUGCAAGCCAUCCGACCAUGUCAUGCUGUGUUUCUGAUUUUGGCAAUCCAUCCUCUUUUAAGUGGAUUUCCAUACAUCUAUGUACUUGGAUCUCAACACAUUCUUUUAGUGGGAGCUUAUAUGGUCCUUUUAAGGGGUUGAUUCUUCCGUCAUAAUCCCAUUGCAAUUCCAAACUUUUUGUCAUAAGUCUUAUGGAAAGUAUCAAUAAAACUUCUAAGUUUUCAAUCAUUGACCAAGUUCUGUCUUUUUCAUAAUUCUACGAAUGCCAACUCUUCUAGGAAAGAAGAAUUAUUUGUAUUUGUAUUUGUAUUAAUUCAGUAUCAAGGAUUGUACGAUUCCCUCCAUAUAUUUUUUGCCCCUUAAUUAAUUGCUCUACGCAUCACGAGGGUCAAUCUAGCUUGGUCCAAGAAAGGUAAUAGGCCAGGCUGUCCAGUCUGUCAAGUCCCGCUCACGUGUCGCCCUUUCAGACACAAGCGCGCGUCCUAUUCUUUCGUUUCUCACGUUGAAUUCGCCAAUUCGAUUUAUUCGUACAGCUUUCGCAAUCCGAGGACGGUGCCAGGAAACUCCCAACGUUUUGAUCGAUCAUGUCCUAAACUGGAUCCAUGCUGGCCCGGUAACCAAUAAUUCAAGCUCCAACCCCAUUAACGGAGUAGCUUAAAGUUAGAAGCACCAACAAUCAGAGGACCGUCGACAUAACUCGUCCUUACGAAAAUUUCGUAAAAAGGAUCUUCCAUCCGAGGACAACUAUCGUGUGCGAUCGCCCCGCGCGGUCUGCUUUCGAAAUGCUUCCUGUAGCUGCAACCAAUCUGACCAAUAUCUUCUUCCACUUGACCUCCAUAAUGGAGUUUUUUUUUUUUUCUUUUUUUGGGGUCGGAUCCAUAACGGAGUUUAAUGGAUCUUAACUGUGUGCCCUUUUUGCAUAUCUCCUUUUUUUUUUUUUUUUGCACAUCUCCUUUUUCAGUAAUGUGAUGAAGUUUUUAGCUGUAUGUGAACAGACUUUUGUUUGUCAACACGGUAGGACUUCGGUCAAGGACCGGAACUUCUCGGGGAUGGUGUGCUUCAAACUAGAAUAAUGACCCCACAGAAAGAUGGAAAGAAGGAACUCAUUAGUCUCGAAGUUGCCAAUUUUAUAUUGGAGCUUGUCGACGGGUACGUUUCGAUGACUAUAUUAUGGUUCGAUAACACUGGAAAGUAAUAUGGUCAUUUGACAUGCCCAAAAGCAUUUAAACAUAAUCUCAAAAGGAACUGGUUUUAAUGUUGUCCGGAUGGCAAGAUGGCCGGAACAGAUUGCAUCCCUCGCUAGGUUUCAGUUGGAAGAAUCUGAUGCAAACGGCAAUUUGGGUUCUCUGUCCACCCCAGAGGAAAUUCGCAAUGAAGACUGAAGUCACGGGGUUGAUUGACACUAUGGACUAUGAAACGGUCCACAUAGUUGCCUUUACAAUGGAUACGAUUACGGGAAAUCUGUGAUUUACUAGUCUAUUCUUUAUUAAUAUCAUAUUACUAGAUUCUAAAUACACAUAUAUAACUUGAGUUUGUGAUGAACAUUGACAUAAAAGUACUAUACAAAAAUGUUAGAAAAGACACCUACAUUCUAGAAAUCCACAAAAGAGUCAAAUUAAGUAUGAGAAAAAUAGCAAUUUCACCAUGACAAGUACAGUUACUAAGUACUCCGAAUUAACCAAUUCAAAUUACUCGAAGAGGCGCAUUCAAUUGACAGGGGAAACAAAGGAGUACAAAACGAUCACGGGGUAAUAAGAAUAGUAGGGAUUCAUGGAGGUACUUGAAAUGUCUUAACAAAUAAAUAAUUAUAGGAGUGAAAUAUUGAUAUAAUUUGAAAAAAAAUAAAAGCAAGCCUGGACCAUAAAAAAAUAAGAAAAAUAUAUAGGAGGACUUACUUGAAGAGUACUUAGCACAUGCAUUUCCUUCGAUACCUCGAUCUUGCUCAAAAGGCAAAUCAGAUUUUGCCAAAGGUUCAACUUUCCCCACAAGAAGUAAAGCAAUGCAUUCCUUGGUCCUCACAACAUCUUUUGUGGACGAGAACAAAACUCUUAACUCCGUCGGUUCCCUUUAUUUUAAUAAACACAUUCACCAAAAAAAAAACCACAUUCAUAAGGCUCUCCAUCUCCCAUGGACGACGCCGAUCUUGUGAUAUCUAUUCAUUUUAUUUGGGUUUUGGCUGAAACUUUUUUUUUAACACUUCUUUUGCUAAUUUAGAGCGUAACUUUUUCUACGAACCGUUCAGAUCGAUAGAUGGGGGUGCCUCGACAUCCCAAAGGGAUGUGAUUUACAACUCCCCUCCGCCCAAAAAAAAAAAAAGAAAAAAGAAAAAGAAAGAAAGAAUAUAAUGGAUGUGUGUUGUCUGGUUUCAUCAUCACUUCUGGUGGUAAACUGGCAACGCAUGUGACGCCCUGUACGCUACUUACAUACUUUAUGGAUAGGUCAAGAAUGGUGGGCAGUGUCGUGUCGUGAGAUCUGGUCGACCUGAGAGAAGGUGAGGGAAAAUAGUAUCAUAGCCUUGUUGACCAGCGUCUUGUAAGACACGUGCUCAAUUAAAUCUACGAUAACAACUUUUUUCACAAAAAUCUAUAAUAUAAUUUCUAAAUGAAAAUAAUAUGACCGUUCGGAUUAUUUUUCAAAGUCCAUAAAAUCUCAAUGGUACCAAAAUGUUCGAACUUGCCAGGUUUUUAUUUACUUCCCCAAUCAUAUAUUUCCAUACUUUAAGCUAAUAUUAAAGUUCAGCUUACUCGUGAGGAAGACUAUUAAAAUAUUUAAAUAAAAAAUCAUAUUUUCAUUUAACAACUUGAUUUUUUAAAAUAGUUGACAAUAAUCACAAAAUCUCACACAUAUAUUACUACAUCAUACUUUGGAGUCAUUUGAUGACCACGUUAGCUGAAUUUGGUCGGAUUUGGUCUCGGAAGCAUUUGAUUAGUAAAUUUGUUGAAGUAGAAGGAAUUACUUAGACAAAUUAAAAGUAUAAUAAUGUAAUCAGAAAAAGUGUGAAAGUACAAGGGCUAAAAGUAGAAAUUUUCUUUGUCCGAGAGAUACAAUUUUCCGCAAAUUCAACAUAGAGUUGGUUGUGCCACCUAGUGAGAGAGCUCCUUAAGCACCGAUGUUGCGGUAAACUCACCUUUCAUGUCAAUGAACUACUGGGGUUCUUGCUCUUGUGUAAGGGCAGGUUACCAUUCACGCUGGUACUUAAAUGUUUAAAUAAGAGGAUUAGAGUAAAAUUGUUAGUAACAUAAUGGCUAGACAUUUCUUUUUCUACAUUUCAAUAGCAGGGGUAGUAACUUUGAUCCAUCGUAAGUCUCUAAUCGUAAGCUAUAUGUUGCCUUGGACAACAUGGCAAUGCUGUUGAGAUAUGGACGGUUCAUUGUGUCGAGUACAAUGCCUUCAUCUGAAAAUAACUACGAGUCGAAGUUCGGUAUAAGGUGUUCUCAUCAGGCGAUGCAACUGCUUUAAGGCAACACAACAUCUCGAAAGAGAUGUUCUUGCAAACAUUCUCUCCUCCUUUUAGAGACAGAUUUUGUCAUCCUCGUUUCUCACGUCCGAAAGGCAUAACCAAGAAAAAUUAAGAUGAAAGAAAGCGAUCAUAUGUUCCCGUAGUCAAUGCUGCUGUCAUCGCCCGCGACCCUUAAAAUCUUCUACAAAGGAAGUAAUUGAGUGAAACCGAAAGACAAGGAAAAUCCAAUCAUCAAGAACAGUCAUAUAGGUCUCCAUUUAUCGGGUUUAGUUUAAAGUAAGAGAAUUGAGUUCUUUCAUACACUCGUGCAUGCACUCUCCCCACCUUCCGUUUCUGCCAUUGUAUCAUACAGAGGCUGAUUUAACGUCUCCAGGAGGUAAAACGCUAGUGUUCCUCCCAGAAUUGCAGAAACCGCAAAGAGUGCAAGGGGGAAGCCGCCUCCUAAGACCACCAUGAAAGGUGCCAAAGUCGGACCCAUUUGCCACGCCUGAGCUGCCUACGCCUGAGCUGCACAGCCAAGAGCUGCAUUCCUCACCACGGUCAGAAACAGCUCCACCGUGUAGAGAAAGAGCAAAUUAAACGUGCUGGCAUGCCAAAGAUCCGGAGAAUUCCUCAACACCAUCCUCACCACUUUCCAUACCCGUGUAACAUCAUCAAGCUCUGCCGUUAUUGUAAAGGCCGCCACCUCAGCCACCCCCUAGGGGAACACAUUAAGGUAAAGGUUAGUCAGGAGAUUGACGACAUUUAGGUUUAUGCCGUCGUACAUGACUGAAUACAGGAAGUUGAUUGCCACGGCCAAGUGAUAGGCAACGUCACCACAUCAAUGAGAGACCCCUUCGUGUCCAUAUGAUCUUUGCAGGAUCAAACCUGAUAUGAGUUUUCAUUCACUUCCUCAUCCAGUGCAAGGAGAGGUUGGGACACCUGGAGUGCCAUAACUUGGCACGGAGGGACAUUUAAGUGCUAUAAUUUUAAAAUGGUACACUUAAGUGCCAAUAUCGGAGUAAAAUGGAACACUUAAGUGCCACUCCGGCGAAAAUCCGGCCAAAUGGCUGACGUGGCAAUUUUCCGGCGAGUUUGGUCCAAAACGGCGUCGUUUUGCACGCUGACGUGGCGGAGAAAAUACAAAAACGACACCGUUUCGUGUCUACGUGUAAAUAAUAAUAUAAAAAUUAAUUAAAUUAUAUUUAAAAUUAAUUUAUUUAAAAAAUUAAAAAAUUAAGAAAAAUUUNNNNNNNNNNNNNNNNNNNNNNNNNNNNNNNNNNNNNNNNNNNNNNNNNNNNNNNNNNNNNNNNNNNNNNNNNNNNNNNNNNNNNNNNNNNNNNNNNNNNAUGAACGGAUCGACUAAAUUCGCCGGAAUUCGCCACGUAAGUCAUUUGGUCGGAUCUUCGCCGGAGUGGCACUUAAGUGUCUCAUUUAACUUCAAAACAGGCACUCAAGUGUACCAUUUUAAAGUUAUGGCACUUAAAUGUCCCCGGUGCCAAGUUAUGGCACUUGAGUUGUACUUUUGCCAGUGCAAGGAUGACCCCAUCGGCGAGGUUUUCAUGUUGGCUUUGGCGAUAGCUCGCACAAGCUUCACGCCCUCGUCAAUCCUCCCACGGAAAAGAUAUCACUGUGGGAAUUCCGAGUUGUAAGGGAGGACAUAGCAUGGAGGGAAUGGAGGAAGCAAUGUAGAGAGCCCGCCUAGACGGAAACACAUAGAUGAUGCCGUACGAGAAGAUAUAGAAAGUGGACGUUCCUGCUGCCCCGCGAGGCUCAGUGAAUAUCAUGAAAGCGCGUACGAUCCCACCCGUGCUGAAUCCGGUAAUGAAGCGGACGGGGCAAUAGGUCUAGUAAUCCGUAGGGUCGUCAAGCAACAAAGGUGGUGUUCAACAUACAACCACCUUGAGAGAGCCUUUUCUUCUCAAGAACGAGUCUGAGGCACGGCCAAAUGUUCCGGCUCCUGCGACAUACGGCAUAAGAAGCCACCAGACUAUGAAUCAAUCCCUCAGAAAUAGCGUCUCGUUAAGCAGAUAGAUAACAAGUUUAUGCGUAGACGUUUGUAAUUGCUUCUGUUUAUAAUGCACCCUCCUACAGUUUCUUGCAUGAGGAGGAAAUCCAAUUAAUCGAAUCUAAAUUGAACUAUUUGUUUUUCAUUUUGCUUCCAUUUAUCGUUUGACGCUCGAGUCAAGAUUAGACGAUUGUUCUUAGGAAAAAGGAUGAUGAAAAGAAAGAGACUGAUUGAGUUGACUGCUUUUCCAUCAACUAGCCCAAGCUGAGAAUUAUACUGCAUCUGUGAGAUUGAAGAGUAUUUUCUAUGAAGCUUAACCACAGCCAGUCAUACAUUCGAUAAGGAUAAUUUAAUUUAAGUUGUUGGUUAUAUAUCACAAAGUUCCUAAAGAAUCAUGACAAGGCCCAUUCGGAGGACCUUUCAAUUUCCCUUCUGCAUACAUCAUCUACGUCUAUCAUUGGUUUGAUUUCUGCUAAGUGCCUGAGGUGCUGGUGCUAGUCCUCGGACUACGGUCACCGAAUCCGGGCCGUGACAAUUUUGUAGGUAAAUUACAUCUCCGCUUUGUGCCUAAAGGAGCACUUCGUCAAUGCGCUCUCUCUCAUCCCCACACACACUUGCAUUUGCGAUCAAUGUCAAAUCCAAUCAACAGUCACGUUUAUAUCACCAGCUGUCCUAAUGCAUAAGACUCUAAGGACGUAAAGAAGGACGUGGCAAACAUAACCCAAGAAGAAAGUUAAAAAGAGUGUUCCGCGACAAGAUGUGAGAGUGCUAGUAUGAACAAAAUAAAGGAGUUAAGGAAGAGAAUAAGAACACAAGAUUUAUAGUGGUUCGGCUUAAUCCAAGCUUACGUCCACUCUCCCACGAUAACAGCCUUUUUGGCUGCAUUCCACUAUGCAAUCAACAAGAGAUUACAACUCCGAGUGCAAACACUUAGUAGUAGAUCACACUAUCUCACUAAGUCACUCUCUUGGUAUUUCUCUCAUGAUUACAAACGUUUAAGCUCUCAAGAGACAAGUAUAUGAUCUAAAGUCGCUUAGACUUUGGAAUUAUAAAUUCUACGCUCCGUCUCUUACUUGCUCAUCGGUCCAUGAUCUCCUUAAAUACUCCUCCACUUCCAAACUACCGUUGGACAGUAUCCCGGAGAAUCGUCUUCCAAUAUACCCAUUGGACAGCUCUGUAUCUAGAAGAUUUGGUAGCCGUUGAGUGACAAAGGUAAAAUCCCAAAUUGAUUCCGAUCGCCCAUACAAACAAAAUCUUGGUUUCCAUAAGUAAAGCUUCUUCAUAUAGAAAGUUCUUGUCUUCAUCAUCCAAUUGUCAAUCAAUUAGAUUGAAUCAAUCAAAUCAAUCUUGAUGUGGAAUCCAAACCAGAUCACUAGCCGUUGUAUGAUUGGGCUUGAGUUACGAUUCAUCGAAUCUGGAUGUAAAGUCUAAGUCUUGAGACUUUACGAUAUGAGUCUUGAGACUUUACAAACUGGGUCUCUAGACUUUACAAUCUGGGUCUGUAGACUUUAAGGUCUGUACCCAAUUCAGCUUCAGCAUAGAGUCUGUCUUCAGACUUUGAGUCUUGAGUCUGGCAGUCUUCAGACUUUGAGUCUCGAGUCUGGCAGUCUUCAGACUUUGAGUCUUGAGUCUAGCAGUCUUCAGACUUUGACACAGAAGUCUGGAAAUCUUCAGAAUAUAUUUUGGACAUGUGUUACGUUCAGUCUUCUGGUCGUCUUCUGACUUUGAUAAUAUCCUCUACAUGUUUUAACAUCUGCAUGGUCUAUUACUCAACCAUCAAACAUGUUAGUAGCCUUUGAUUUAUUUUGUCAUCUUCAAAACAUCAUAAGGGAUUUCCCUAACAAGAUGCCCACCUGAAAAUCGGUUCUACUUACAAGGAUUUAUUCACAUCAGAAAAGAAAAAAGAAAAAGAAACUCCUCAUAUCUCCUCUCGCGUCCUAUCGUUUCUCUUCUUAAACUUUGUUCCUCUAGAGAUAUUUGUCAUAUUUCUUUUGAUUUUCUAUAUCUAUUUUGAUUAUACAUAUCUAAUUUAAUUGUCUUUGAUAGUAUAGACUCUCCAUGUACUCUUUUCUAUGCAUCGAAAUAUAGGAAAUUUCCUAUCCUCUCUCCCAACAAGAUGUUAUUUCAUGUGUUAGAAUAAUUUACCUAAAUGAAUAGCUCUUUGGUCUACUUUAUUUCUCAGUGGCCCUUUUGACAUGUAUCUACAUUGUUAAAACAGAGAAUUAUUUUCGUUAUUUGAGUUUAAUGAGAUCUGAAAAAGGAUAAGUCAAAUUUUACUUUUCUAGACUUCAGCAUCUUUCCAACAAGGUUGUCAGUAUUCAUUUUGUUUUACUAAAUGAGAAAUGUUGGACAUACAAAAUAUUUCUAAAACUGAUAUUAAAUUUUCUGCGGCCCUUAAUCCUUUGUCAUCUUUAUAUUCCGAUCGUUUCAUGAGCACGAAAAGUGAUUGUUGGACACAUAAGGAUUUGUAUAUCAGUUGAUGCCGAAUUUUCGUAUAGUUAGAAUGACUCUUUUUGUAAAGUCAGUGCGAGAAUCAUGUUUUGCAUGUACAAGGAGCGCCUUGGCUGCAAAAAACAAAACAAAACAAAAGAGCAAGGACCAUUGCCACUAUUAUUCAUUCAAAAUUAGGGACUAUGUUUUUUCCCUUAAUUUCCAGACAGCGCCAUAACAAUGAAAUUUCAAUAAUAAGAUAACCAUUACGCGACACUUUCAAGCUGAAAUGAAAGUAAUUGUGUGGUACGACACAAGGGAUAGAACCGGAGGAAGCGUUCAAGUGCAUACGGGGCAAGAAGAAGGUCCCACUCCAGCGACUCCCAUGUUUGCCGAUUGUCUAUUGUAAUCACUCGAAGAGAAGGCUGAGGAGACGGGAGGCCAUCAUCAGGCAAGAAGAGCUGCACAGGAAUGGUCUUGAGGUGAGGACAUCGUUUCGCACUAAUAUAUCCUAGGGAAUGGCAACUCAUGGUGCCAUCAUGCCAUCACAUAUGCUCCUCAGUUUCGGAAGAUCCCAUAGAGUCGGGCAUGUUAAAUCUGGGAAGGAGGAGGGCGUCAUGUUGGGAACGGUGCCUAUUAUCACCUCUAUUCCCUCGCACUCUUCAACACCUGUUGGAGGAGAGGGAGGUGGAGCAACAUGUUGUGUGUCAGCAACACCUCCUUCACGUUGUUGCAUCCUUUUAUUAUGAGAUUUUUAAGAAGACAAGUGACACCUCUUGGAAAUGGACCGCCAAUCAUCUCCUCUAAUUUCUCACAAUAGCAUGUUGUAAUGCACUCCGGGUUUGGAAGGCAAGUGGUCAGCCACUCCCAUUCCACCGCUCGCUUCAUUUUAGGACACUCACCCACAGAAAUGUUUUGAAGACUAGCUGCUGCUAUAUUAAUCCCUGUAGUACCUCUGAGCCCUUGAUAUGCACAAGUAGUAGACUUGGAAGCCCCUGCCCCUCUUCUAACUUCAGUCUGGAGCACCCAGUCACAUUCAAGCUCCGUAGGUGAGGGAAGUGGAGAGGACCCAGCUCUUCCAAGUUAUCACAUCCAUAUAUCUUUAACACCUCCAGGAUCUCAAGUGGGCCCAUGUCGCAAAAACUUGUCAACCCAUCGCACAAUCCUCCAUCCAGUACUUGAACAUUUUUCGGAAGUAGGGCACAGCCAUCCCCACUAAUCCCUCCAUCUACUCUUGCUGCGACACUGCCGCAACUAUCAAUUAUUAUAUGCCUCUUUUGAUCAUGCCAACGGUAAUCCUCUACUAAUACAUUCAACGCCAGACUACUGUUGGGAGCUGUCCUGCCCGAGAAGCCUCACGCAUGCAUCGAACGUUUCCACAUCUGGAACGCAGCAAUAGAGUGCUUCCAUCUUCUUUAAUUUUGCCUCUUCCCCUGCCCCCAUCUCUUGAAUCGCAAGAUAUUGUAGGUUCCCCAGCUUCCCUAGCACUCCUUCUGGUAACAUCUCAAUCUUUGUGCCAUCUAGGUCGAGGUACGUUAGCUCUACCAGCAUCUCCAAACCCUCUGGCAUUUUUUCAACACCUGCACAUCCUUUGAGGUCCAACUUUCUUAGGGAUCCCAACUUUCCUAAAUAAGAAAUACGACAUAAUGCUGUACACCAUUGCAGUAACAGUGCUUCCAAGCUCUCCAAGUAACAGAUGGGGUCCGGUAAUUCAAUGAUUCUAGUGUUUCUGAGAUCAAGUACCUUCAGCCCAUUUAGAUGCCUGAAGAAAGAUUUAUGGAUGAAUUCAAACUUGACAUUGCCACCCAACAAGAGCCUUGUAAGUUUAGGGCAAUUUGGUGAUAUACUGUACGGGAUUUGUUCCAUUUUGUUGCCUUGUAGAAAUACUUUUUCCAAAUGAACAGUCCAGUAAUCUUCCUGUGGAAUAUCUUUCAAUCCCCAGCAGGCCUUGUUCAUGUGAGUUAUGCUCGUCACUGUUUGCAAUGUCAUAUCUCUUAUCAGGGGGUGCACAGGCACCUCUUCUUCUAGAUUAUCCCAUAGACAAGCCUUUCUGAUUUUACCUAAUAUGGUGUUACAUUGGUCGUAUAGUUCUUGCCGAGUGGCAAUUCCACCUAACAAGCCCUCAUCUAUGAAAGACUCUGUCAAAUCCUCCCUAUGAGCUUAAGAAAUAUCUUUUGCAAAACAAAGUAUCAAAUGCAGGAAACAUUGUUGCACUUGAGGAUUACCCAAGUUCAUGUAAUUGAGUUUCAGUUUCUUGAACGCGUCAAGUUCCAUCCUCGAGUUUUCUAAUCUCUACAACAGGUCUUUCCAUUUGUGCACUUCCUCCACUCCCCUCAUAGGAGUCGCAAUCUCAAUGAUCCCAAGUGGCAAACCCCCACACUUAUCCAUAAUAGACCUUGCAAUUUUUUCAACUUCUGAUGGAAGUUUCUCAAAGUGAAGUUUCUCCGAAAGUAAGCUCCAAUAAUCAUGCUCAUUUAGUCAUUCUAUUUUCAUUUGUUUUUGGCAUUGCAUCUUAUGACACACAUCAAGAGAUCGAGUUGUCAGUACCAAUGUGACAGCCCAGGCGGCGGUGCACAGGAAGGAUGGAUGGUGGUGCGUCUGGGCCUCGGUCCCCGGACGUGCGCAGGGAGGGGGCGCGUCUCCUAUCCCACAUCGCUUAGGGGGGAGAGUCACGGUUUAGUUUAUAAGGCUUGGUUUUCUAACCUGUGUAAUGCAUUUUAAAGCCGUGAGGGCCAAAGACUCAAAGCGGAUAAUAUUACACACUGGGAGGCCCGGGUCCUUAUAUAUGGUAUCAGAGCCAACUUCGGAUCGCGUGUGGGGCCGUAGUGAGGGUCCCUUCCCAAGGGUAGGAGGGAUGGCGGUACGUCCGCGCCCUCGGUCCCCGGACGUGCGCAGAGAGGGGGUGCGUCUCCUAGGCUAGUUUAUAAGACUUGGGUUCUAUCCGGGUCCUUACAACCAACUUAAGGCCAUUCUUUUCAACUGGAAUUCCAAAGUGUGCAGAGAGGGGGUGUGUCUCUUAAGCUAGUUUAUAAGACUUGGGUUCUGUCCGGGUCCUUACAACCAACUUAAGGCCAUUCUUUUCAACUGAAAUUCCGAAAUCCUCAACUUCGAAGUGCAUCCAUAGGCCAUCUAAAUAUUAUUGAACUUAGGAUUCUCAAGCAGCAUUCUAUUAUGGACAUAAGUUUAAACGGCUGCUUGCCAACUCAUCCCAUUCCAUAAACGCCAAUAAUGAAAAUCUCAUCUUCCGUCAAAUAGUCACAGAUCUUUUUAAUUAAUUCUCACUUUCAUUGCCUAUUAGCUUUGAUAUUACCAGGGGUGAGCUUUUCCUGUAUCCUGCAGCACAUGUCGUCGACCCUCUUUGGAAGCUAUUGUGAGCUAGAAUGUCUUCAACUUCUUUACUUAGGUCAUCUAGUCGCUCCACUUGCUGCGGAGAAAGAGACCUACCUUCUCCGAAUGAUUGCACCACGCUCCAUUGUUCCCCUUUUAUCCUUUUCGCUUUCCUGCACCACGUCUCCAACUCAUCCAUGUCAGCUUCUGUGCUGCUUAGUUCUUCCAGCUUUAGUUUCAGAGUUGACAUAUUCUCACCGACAAGCCCACGGGUACCUGGUUAGUUAUCCAUGAGUGCAUCAUCAAUCCUCGUAUCUAAUAUCCACGAGUGCAUCAUAAAGCUAAAUGAAAAUUUAUGAAAAGAAGAACUAAGCAAUUAUGUCGACGUGAAAAUUUAAUAAAGGAUUAAGGGUGUAAAUAAAGGAUCGAGGAUUUUUCCCCGAGGUGGUUUGUACGAGCACUUGCCUUGUUGUUGGGGGCAUGGUCUCUUAAUGGGUUGAUCAGUCUGCAUGUCUGAGGGAUAUUGGGUUUAAAUUCUACUAUGGGUUUUGGGUCUGUUGGGUUUUAUUACUUGAGGUUUGGGUUGAACCUUUCGGCUCUUUAGGUUUCUAUGAGAUGGGUUGAACUGACAAUUGGGUCCAGAUGGGAAGUGACUCUCCUUACACUUUACAUUAAUAUAUAAUAUGAAAAUUAAAAUAUGUAUUUUAGCAUAAAUUACUCAUUAAAUUGUAUCAUAUUUAUAUGAAUCUUCCUCUUUCGAACAAAAUAAAGGUGGAAUUCCUAGUUCCUAUUAUCUCUUAAUAAAUAGUAUGAGGAUGCAAUCAUAAUUAAAAAAAUCCAUAAAGGCUGCUGACAACUGCAAUACUAUAAUAUUGAGAGAAAAUAAUAAAUAUUUAACAAAGAAAUAAACAUAUAGUUUAUAGGAAGAGUUACAACACAUGUUAGAAUUUUAGAUAAUUGUUAUGUAACAUUAAAACUCAUUAAAACUCACGAUCUUUUAUUGGACAAAAUUCACGGGAUUGAACGAGGCAAGUACAAAUCCUAAUUGAAAGCAAAAUAAGUAGUGAGUGCACAAACUUAUUAUUAUGUACUUGUUUAGAUACUGGCUUUCAUGUACCUAUUAUUUUAAAAAUUUUGAGCAUUACAACAUUAGACAAAUUCAAAUCAACCCCAUAAGCUAAGAGUAGAACUUAUAAAGUAAAAGCCACUGUAACGACCCUAAAUUGUAUCUUGAGAUUAAAAUUGAAAAGAUAAGAUACAUAUGAUUUCCACAUCUAAUCCACAAUGACCAGCGCCAUGACUUGUCCUAUUAAAAAAGCGCUAUACUUGCUUUCAAAUUGAUCUUUGAUUGGUGGGUGACCCAUUCAAAUGACGAUAACUAAUCGCCCGAAGAAAAUCUUUCGUCCUGCUAUCGUAUUUUCGGUAGUGUCCCAACAAAUGCACUUGCUACUAGGCAGAACCUCAACAAGCUCCCAUAAUGGAUCCAUCGCUCUCGGCAUUUCCUCUGUAUCCCACAGAAGAAUAAACAGACAUAAUUCAAGUGACUGGGUACCAACAAGGAAAUACUUUUUGUUGUUUUCAAUGUUUUCUUCUCUUUUGGAAGGCAGUUUUCUGUCUUGUUCACUGCUCAUGCUCGUGUAGUCUAUUUCUUGGAUAAUUUCUCAGUUGCCAUGGCCUUGUUGCGCUGAAUAUGGCAGUUUGUCGCAGCCAAGCGCUGGUCUUGUGAUUGCCAAUUAAAGAUUGCAAGGAGUGCAACCUCACUUGCAAAUCUACACUCAUCGAGCUCAAAAUCUCGCCCUUGACUCCGCUUACUGCAAAAGUUCCAUUUACUCGAGUUCUUUUAAUGUCAAUUAAUUCUAAGGUUGCAUGGUAAACUAUCCGAUUUACAUGAGUGGAGAUUGCGAUGUGAUGCAGACUAGAUUAUAUAGCAUCUCUGACCAAGCGCUGGACUGACCGCUCAGCAAUUUAUGAAAGUUAUUUUGACACAGCAAAAAAAGUCCUCGCUCUUUGCUCACCGGAAACGUUGAUUAUCUUAAGUAAUUAAGAGCGCAUUCUGGAAAUAAACUCCAGAACAGUUGUUUCCGAAAAAGACCAGACAAAAUUUUGGUAAGACCUGGUCACCGCAACUCUUUCUGUUUAAUCUGUUGUUAGUUGAAGUGCCAAAAAAGAGCUUGAGAGAUCGCUAAAACGAUAUUUACAAGUGGGUAUGAUAUGAAACGUACCAGAAGAAGAACCAAAGCUGCUCUUGAAAUUCUAAGGCACAGAUCGUCAUUACCAUCCAAGAUUCCGACAAAGAGUUGGGUUUGUCUGCACCAGUGCAAUUUUAAGAGGAGCAAAGGCAAAGGUUGUCGUAGUCAAACCAAAAUAGGUUCCCUGGGGAACAAACGAUGGGCGUCUGGCCUGGAAAAAGUCAAAAAAAAAAAAAAAAAAAAGGCUUGCUGAAUGCGUAUGAGAAAACAGAGAAAAGAGACUUGGCCAUGGUCAAAGUCUUCAACCACGCUUCAGCCCCUAGAAGGUAAAUAAUAAUAAUCUUCAGUUCUGCAUUACUCAAGUCGACAACAAUUUUUGGGGUGGCCUUUUACUCUGGAUGCGAUUUGGAAAGGAAUACAGCAAAUGGAUAUGAACUCCCCGUUUCCUCGUUUCCAUUCAUUAUUAUAUCAUCCUUCCUAUUUGUAUGUUUAUGAUCAAUCGCACAUCAUUGCAUUCUCAACUAAAUUCUGUGCAGAUAAUUAAGACAACUUGAAAUCUCGGUUGUAGCAUGAGCCUUUAGAUUCUGCUACUUGUAUGGUGAAUUCGGGAGCUGCACGAACCUUUUGGGAACGUCCUAAUUGGUUCCAUUCUCUUCAUCAUUUUGGUGGAUGUGCAAUGUCAACCAAAGCUUCUGGUACCACAUUCUAGAUGGAAGCUGGGAACGAUGGAAUUCUGCUGUCGACGGAAUGAGAAACUCCGCUCUGUCCAAUUUUGUUCUGAUGAGGGAGAGAUUGGAACGCCACCCAGCAACUGAGGAUCAGAUGAAUUCAACUCAUCUAAUAUAAGAUAAGACGAUGCAGUUGCACCCACGGCGAAUGAAGGUUCUUUGGAGCUGUCUUUCUUGCUCAUGGAUCGAUGCUAAAUUGGUGGAAUGUUGGAAUUCAAUAACUGAAUGUAGGAUCAGCCUUCGACUUUCCCUUCCAUUCUAUCCUCAACUCCUUACGCUCAAUUGCUUUGGGGACUUCCCCGCGCACUCGCCUAUGGACAUCCCUGCACUCAUUAAUCCAAUAUCCAGGAAUUUCUCUGCUAACUGCCCUUGAUCCUUGUCACCACUUCGCCGCCACCCUACUCCCUCCCGCAGAAGUUACGCUUCCACUUUCGUUUUCGAGUCGAACUCCAGCAAAACAAUUUCGCAUAGUGGAUUUAGGAACAAAUGACUAUCUUUCUGCCUUCCUCAGUUUUCAAAAGUAGACAGUAUCAUAGGAUUCCACUCGUUUGCUUGGUGGGUGGGUUCCUUUUGUCCCUCAAAUCCGACAUCAAUGACAGGGCAACCAACACAGCAAACUCCUCAAUGUGAACAAAACCCUGCACUCCAAACCCUCUCUCUCUCUCUCUCUCUCUCUCUCUCUCUCUCUCUCUGUGGCCUGAGAGCUUUUCUCUCCCUUUCAUGGGAGCUUUCUUCUCCCGAUCUCGAUCUGGGAGUUUAUUUGCAUCCCGUAUAUUAUUUCUUUCUUUCUUGGCGUGCUGCGGAUGCUCCUCCAUUGAAGGUGGCCGAUUCGACGAAUGAGUGAGAUCCCCCACGUUUUAGAGUUUUCCCCCGCUCACCCUACAAGGAAAACCAAACCCUCUCCUUAAAGACCAGUUACCUGGACCCAUACCAGAUCCCACGCCACGAAUUCCUCCAUCUUUAAAAGGUUUGGGAUCUAACCCUCCUUCCGACAACCGAUUUGAGACGUCCACCUACUUUCUCCGUAUCUUGCUGAGAUAUGUGGAAGAGUGUGCACGCCAGGUGUUUGGUUGAUUUUCUAGUACAAAGGUAAUUUCAUAGAUCAGCGGUUGGCUCUCUAUUCAGAUACAUAUGGUUUGAUUUCUUGGAGUGCUGUUGGAGAGCUGUGGUUCGUUCGUUGGCGGUGACAGAUGGUUUUUGUUUUUUGGGUCUGAUAGAUAUCUGAGGAGUGACUACCUUUUUAUGUUAAGCGGAAAUAUGGAGGCGGGCCAAAUUAUGCCCCUAUUGUUGCCAUAUAUAUUAUAGCUUGGAAUGAUAGUUGAAGGCCACAUGCCGAUCUUGUGACCUAGAUAUUGUGUUUCUGUCAAAGAUAAAAUGUGAUAUUAGACGGAUAAAGACUCGUAAAAGGAUUGGAUUUAGUUAGUCAUUCUUGAUUCCCACAGAAAAUAUUGCAGGAGGAUUAGUAGUCAUGUGAAAAUAUCUUGUAGUUUUAUCAUUUUUUUUUUUGCAGAUAAAAACUGAAUUAAUAUUGAGGUUUCUAACAUAGAAAAUCCGAAAUAGUUGUGAUGGCUUUCAUUGUUGUACUCACCUCUUUAUUGUGGUCUUAAACGAGUGGCUUGGGAAGAGUUUAAUGAGACUAUUUAUUGUCCUCAGGCAUCCUAUUAAAGGGGCUUGAGCCCAUCUCGUCACUCUUUAGUGGACUUUAUAGGUCUAGUGGGGCGUGUUGAUCUUAGCUUCAGAGGCAAACCUUAUAAUUGGACAAAUGGCCUAGAGGGCUUUGCAAGCAUUCGGAACAGAAUGGCAAUUUGUUCGACACCGUAGUGUAAGAAAUUCCUUAAUUGGGGGUUGUCCACUUGCCGGUGGUAAACAUGGAUCGCCCUCCUAUUUUACUGAAGUCAACUUCUCCUGAGGAUAAUUCGAGACAAUUUUUUAAAUUUGAAGCCGUAUAGCUGCGGGACUCAACUAAUGUUAACGAAGUGGAAAAGGCUUGGAACAACGAUACGGUAAAUAAUUCAAUGACCUCAUGGCAUAGGAAGCUAAAAUCGAGAGAACUCUCAAAAGGUGGAAUAAGGAACAUUUUUGAUAUUUGCCAACGGUGCCUUAAGGAAUUGAUGGUGUCGCUUGAUUCCAUUCAAAAGGAUGAGCCUUCGUAAGAGGAGCAGGAGGACAAAAAGAAAUCAAGGCGGCUACUAAUGAGCAAUGGGAGAGACUACGUUUUAAAUGGCCAAAGUUCUUUAUUUCUUUGAUCUAGUUUGUUCCAGACGAUGUAUAUUCUUCCAUUAAGUUGGACAACCGCCGAUGGGCGAGACUUGCCUGGAUUUGGACCCCCAUAAGUCGGGAUCGUUUCCAUUGUGGAUUAUGGGAGGCUCACUUAAUCGACAAUUCAAAUGGCAUCCGUUCUAUUGGUCGAGACACAGGCGAAACUUUUCCCUUUGAGCAUAGUCCCAGUAAAGACCUCAAGCUUCUUGAUGUGGCAGCCAUUUGUCCCCGUCCGCCAAAUGAAAAUUUUCGCAAACCAUCCGGCUGGCCACGCUAUGUUUCUGAUUUUGGCAAUCCAUACUCUUUUAAGUGGAUCUCCAUAUAUUUAUGUAUUUAAGUCUGACAGAUCUUUCAAUGAGAGCUUGUAUGGUUUUUCUGAAGGGUCGAUCCUUCAAUCAUAAUGCAACCGUAAUCACACUUUUUAUGGUAAUUCUUAUAUGAAGUGUCAUAAAACUUGACAUUUUCAAUCAACGGCUGAGUCCUUUUCUUUUAAAGUUCGACAAAAGAAAAGUACUGAAAAAGUCAUAAACUUAUCGUGUUGAUACCAAUUUUGCAUUAAACAAUGUAAUCCUAAACUUUUUCAUAUUAGUACCAAUUUCAUCCAUCCGGCCAAUUUAGAUUAAAAAUGGCUAACAUGGAUACCAGCCAUUUUACGUGUCAUGGUCGAUGAUGACGUGGGCAAAUUUUAUUAAUAUUUGUGAAUUUUUAAAUAAUUUUUUGAUUUCUUUACGGUGGCCACCGAUAAAAAGUAAGAAAGAAAAGAAGAGGGAAAUAAGAAAAAAUUCACAAAAAUCAAUAAAAAAAUUAUUAAAAUUUAUCCACAUUAGUGUCGACUAUGCCAUAUAGGACGGUCAAUUUUCACAUCAUCGAUUUCCAACUUAAAUUGACCGGGUGGAUCGAAUUAAUAGUAAUAUGAAAACGUUUAUGACUAAAUUAUCUAAUUAAAAAUUUAGAAUUGAAUUAGUAUAAAUGUAAUAGAUUUAAGACUUUUUUAAUACUUUUCCCAUUUGACAGACACCACCUUUGUGAGAAAUGGUGUGUCGACGGAUUAUACAGGAUUAUACAAUUCCCAUUCGUUUAUUUUUUACCCUUUUAUGAGAUAGCAAAAUAAAUCUAUGAAUCGGAAGGGCAGGUCCAGCUUGGCCCAAUAAAGAUUGGGCUAGGCUGUCCAGUUUAUGAAAUCUUACUCAUGUGAGAGCCCAUUCUUAUCCAUGUCGCCGAAUGCUCUCCCCUCUUUUUUUUUUUUUUUUUUUUUUUUUUUUUUUUCAGGUAGAAUUUGCCUAUUUUAUUUAUUUUUGCCAAACUUUUCUUUCUUGGUCAUACUAUUUUUGCCAAACUUGUCAUCUUUGAAACGUGCUAGGGAUUUUACAACAUUUUAACUCGCUCUGUCCUCGCCCAAUGACCACGAAUUCAAGCUUCAACCUUAUUAAUGGAGUAGCUUAGAAGUGCCAACAGUUAGAGCGCAUGAACAUAACUUGUUCCACUUUAAUAUCCUAAAAAAGUCUUCCGUCCGAGGUCGACAAAUGCGUGCAAUCGCUCGAUGCUUCCUCUGGCUCCUGACUGUGACCAAUCUGUCGGAUGUGUUCUUCCACUUGAAUUCUAUCAUGUAUUUCUUAGUCAAUGACUGAAAACAGGAACAAAGAUAAGAUAAUGUAGUUUAAUGGAAUUUGACUGCAUGCGCUUUUGCAGAUCUCUUUUCUUUGGUGACGUGAUGAAGUUUCUAGCUGCAUAUGAACAACUUUGUCAACAUGGUCGAAAUUCGGUCCAAGACCGGAACUUCCCUGGUUGAGCUUCAUGCUAGAAUAAUGACCCUAGAAAGAUGGAAAGAUGGAAACCAUUAGUCUCAAAGUUGAGAAUUUUUAUAUUGGAUCUUGUUGAUGGGUGCGUUUCCGACACUAAUUUAUGGUUCGAAAACUUCGGAAAAUCAAUAUGCAGUGAUCUGACAUGUUGCAAAGCAUUUAAGCGAAGACCUUAAAAGUAACUAGUGUUAACGUUUUCUCUGGAUGGCAAGAUGGUUUCAACAGACUGAAUUCCAUCCAUCACCAGGCUUCGGAUUCUCUGUCCAGCUCAGAUGAGAUGAGCACUGAAGACUGGUGUCACGGUAUUGAUUGAUGCUAUGGACUUCGAAGGGUCGAUAUAGUUGCCUCUACAAUAGAUGAGAUAAGGGGAAAUCCGUUUUUUACUAGUCAAAGAAAUGAACUUUGGUCAACGUAUCAUUGUCAGAUGAACAUCUUACCCGUGAUCCUCCCUCUUAUUUCCGCUAUCGUAAGUCAAAUUCUGACGUUUAAAGUUGAAAACACAUACUUUAGUCCCCAUUGAACAACCAUUCACCAAGUCCACGCUUCUCAUAUUUUUCGCCUUAAACUUCGUUAAUUACGACAAAUGGCAGUCUCUUUAUCCCUCCAGAAACAAAGCUCAAACCUUGAACACCCGCAGGAUGGAUAGCUUGUGUCUUUGGCUUGUGACAGGAAGUUAGGUUCUGCUCUUCUCAGGCUUCACGGUGGCAGUUGACACCAUUGAUGCAUCUCAAUCGUUAAGCGACAGGGAGACAAUAGCUUCGAGUGGGGGAACUUUUGAACUGGGAUUUUUCAGUCCAGGCAGUUCAAGGGGCCGUCACGUGGGAAUUUGGUAGAAGAACAUCCCAGUUAGAACUGUUGUUUGGGUUGCAAAUAGAAGCAAUCCAAUCAAUGACUGUAGUGGCAUGUUGAUGAUAUAACACAGAUGAUAUAGUCCUACGCCACAACAACAGUGUCGUUUGGUCCGUGAACACUGCUGGAUGGGCCGAGAAUCCAGUUUUACAGCUCUUAGAUUAUGGAAAUCUUGUGCUGAGAGAUGACAAGAAUGACAGUUUGGAUACCCAUUUGUGGCAAAGCUUGGACUACCCAACCGACACUUUUUUGCCGGAAAUGAAGCUUGGAUGUGACUUAAAGACCAGUCUCGAUUGGCAGUUAUCUUCCUGGAAGAGCCCAGAUGACCUGUCACCGGGAGAUUUCACUUGGGGGAUGGCCAACAGUAAUUUCCCUGACGUUGUAAAAUGGAAGGGCUCCGACACGUACUUUAGGAGCGGACCAUGGAAUGGCCUUCGUUUCAGCAGCACACUGCAGCAAGGGUCCAAUUCCAUUUUCUGGUAUAAUUUUGUAUCUGAUGGAUACGAAAUUUACUAUAUGUAUCAUGUCACCAACAAAUCUGUGCUUGUGAGGAGCAUCUUUGAUCAAACGAACUACUUGUGGGAGCGGUCCACAGGGAGCAAAGCGACUCAAAGCUGGAGGCUCUUCCUAACAGUUCCUAACAGUUCUGAAGGACUGCUGCGACACCUAUGGCAUUUGCAGUACCCACAGCAAAUGCAUGACUAACCAGCUGCCAUAUUGCCAAUGCUUAAAAGGAUUCACACCUAAAAACCCGGAUGAAUGGAACUCCACUGAUUGGUUGCAAGGAUGUGUUUGGAACGAGCCUCUGAACUGCAGCACCAGCGAUGGAUUCAUGAAAUAUUCUAACAUGAAAUUGCCGGAUACUACUCAUUGUUUAGUGGAUAGUAUCUUGAGCCUCGAAGAUUGCAGGACCAAAUGCUUGAACAACUGUUCAUGUGCAGCAUAUGCAAACUCAGAUAUCAGAGGACGAGGAAGCAGAUGUGCAAUGUGGUUCGGUGAUCUGAUAGGUAUGAGACAGUAUCCAGAUGAUGGACAGUUUCUGUAUGUGCGAAUGCCAGCUUCUGAAAUAGGUACUAUCUUGUUUUGGCAUCUCUGAAAAAGGUAGGUCUUGCACUAGAUUUCCUUUUCACCUAUCAUUCUUUUUCCUUUCAAAUGUGAGCACAAACCUUUCCAUAGUUACCCAUUAUAUCUGGCAUUUAUAUGUUUUUAAUGCUGACUUUUCAAUUGAGCAGGGAAGAGUAAGUCCAAGGUGUGGAUAGCUCUGGUAGUUGUAUUAGCAAUUGCCAUAGCUAUUGCCAUGCUAGUCGCCAUCUGUUACGCCCGCAGAAGAAGGAAAAACUUCGGCAGUACAUAUUUCCUUUCAUGACUUUCCUCACAAUACUAUGUUUUCAUGCAAAAGAGAAUAUUUGUGGUCUAAGAAAAGAGAGAGAAUAUCGAAAAUUAUUACUCUUGAUUUGAUAACUGAAAAUUUGGCAUAGUCAGAGAGUUGCAUAGUCAGAAAAUUAUUAGAAGUGGGACUUACUACACAUGCUUCCCUGCCUUCUUUUUGCUUGAGCUAAGUACCUCCGAUUUUCCACAUCAGAGAUAGCAGAAGAUAUAUCUGAAGGUCAAGAGAGUAAACACCCUGAUGAUGACUUGGAGCUCCCAUUAUUCGACCUACACUCAAUUGUUGAGUCCACAAAUAAUUUUUCGAUGAGGAACAACCUAGGUGAAGGCGGUUUUGGACCUGCAAGAUAAAACAAAAUUUGGAGUGGACUAUCCGAAACAUAGCACAAAGAUCCGGCCAUCAGAAUUGAAUCUUCCCAUUGUUGUUUUUAUCCAGGGUAUACUUUUAGAUGGAGAGAAAUCGCUGGGAAGAGACUCUCAAGGAGCUCUAGGCAAGGACUGAGGGAGUUCAAGAAUGAGGUCCUACUAAUUGCAAAUCUUCAGCACCGAAAUCUUGUAAAGCUUCUUGGUUGUUGCAUUCAGGGAGACGAAAAGAUGCUGAUCUACGAAUUCAUGCCCAACAAAAGCUUGGAUGCCUUUAUUUUUGGUAACCUAGUUGAUGUAUUUCUAGUUAAUUUUAAAAUGUAGCCAUUGCCUGUAAAGAAAAAAAUAUCACGAGACAUGGGACUGACUUGACUAAAACCUGACGGAUAAAGAGAAAAGUAAGUUAUUGGAUUGGCACAAGCGGUUCAAUGUCCUCUGCGGUGUUGCUAGGGGCCUACUCUAUCUCCAUCAGGUUGAGGAUAAUCCACCAGGACCUCAAAGCGAGUAAUGUCCUACUUGACAACGAGAUGAAUCCAAAAAUUUCAGAUUUGGGAGGCUAGGAUAUUUGGAGGGGAUGAGAUGGAAGGAAAUACCAACAGAGUGGUUGGGACAUAGUAAGUAUCUUACAGUUAUCUUACAGUAUGGUCUGCAUAGAGUGAAAAAGGGUGGUUCUGAUUCCAUUUUAAUGCAUGUUGUAAUAUUUUCUUUUGUUCUUCAGUGACUACAUGGCACCUGAAUAUGCUAUUGAUGGGCUAUUUUCAGCAAAAUCGGAUGUGUUUAGCUUCGGUAUUUUGGUCCUCAAAACUGUGUUUGGAAAAAGGAACAGGGGAUUAUAUCAUUCGAAUCAGUCUAGUCGGCCAUGUGAGUAAUUUGUUUUAUAUAAUUUUUUGUAAUCUUAAGUAGCUUUAUGGUCCAAUGAAGUUCGUGCAAUUUUUCAUUUUGUAGGCAUGGAAGUUGUCCGAAGCUGGCAAGUCUUCCGAACUGAUCGAUUCAUGCUUGGUGGACAACAUCCAAUAUAUCUCAAGUGUUACGAUGUGUUCAUAUUGGUCUCCUAUGUCUGCAAGAACAUCCUGAGGAUAGGCCUAGCAUGUCGUCGAUUGUGACAAUGUUGAGCAGUGACAACGCAUUGGCUGUGCCUCAACAACCAGGUUUCCUCGUGGAGAGUAAUCCGCACAGAGGAAAUUCCUCGUCUAGCGUUGGACUCGUCUAUAGUCAAUGAAAUGACUUUUACACUUCUAGAGGCCCGAUGAGAAGACAGGAACUUGCCACAGUUUUGCAUUAUUCUGUACUUGUUUAGUUCAUUAAUAUACAUCAUGGAUUUUUAGAAUUCAUGUUAUCAGUUGAGCCUGUGUAGCUGUAAAUGGUUUGUUAGCAUUGAAUGUCUUAAUAAUCUGUCUUCAUCUCAUGAGCAUAUCUCUAAUCGGCUCGUAUUGUGUUCCCUAGCUGAAACAGACCUCAUUUACAUUGACCUCCUGAUUGUUAACAUCUUGGUGGAGACCCUGGUGAUAGACUCGCCAAUCUCAGAAGCUAAUCUCAGAUCUUCAGGUCGUGGUUGGUACAAAGUAGCUAAAACUCAAACUGAUUAUUCCUUAUUAAGUCUCAAAAGGGGAUAAGAACGCUUCAAGUGCCAAAAGUUGGCACAAAGGGACACUUAAGUGCCAAAAGUUAUGAAAGUGACACUUAAGUGCCACUUUGUAAGAAAAGUGGGACACCUGAGUGCCACCUCCGACGAAGGCAGCCGGAAAUCAUACGUGGCAAUUAAAUAAGAUUAUUUCUCGUCGAGGUGGCUCGCCGGAGAGCUGAGUCAGCUCUAAUUCACCAAAAACGACGUCGUCUCCUCAGGUUGGCCAAAAUGGAGCCCUUAAAUCAACCAAAACGACAUCGUCUCCCCCAUUGCCCCAAAUCUAAAACCCUAAAUCCAGCAAAUUGCCAUUGAAGCGUUGGAGCCCUAAUCCCGAACCCUAACUCGAUUUGCCCCAAAUUCUACGGUUGGAUAUUAAGAAUGGAGAGCAGGACUUUCAGCAGCGACUCAAAUUUCUCUCGCCAAAGCGAAGGAGAAGGCGAGCGUUUCUGUUUUUGUGGGUUACCAAGUCCAAGAAGAACAUCGUGGACGCGAAGGAAUCCUGUGAGAAGAUUCUAUGGAUGUGCCCGAUACAGAGAAGGGUCGAAGUGCAAAUAUUUCGAAUGGGUUGAUGCGAAAUUCUCUCACCGAGCCACAGAGGUGAUAUUGGACCUACUUGAUGGAUGUCAUCAACCUCCAUCUACACCUGUGGACGAUUUGGACGAGGUUGACUCAAUGCAAGCUCAAGCAUCUUCUGCUAACCAUUUGAAGAAUGAAGUUUCAAAGAUGAAUAUUGAACGAAAGUGUUACCGAGCAUUUAUUGUGUUGCUGUUUUUUUGUCUAUCCUAUUUUAUGAUGAAAUGUAAAGUAUUGGAAAAUGAAAAAAAGUUUCUCCGACUGCCAUAGUUGUAAAUGAGGUCAAGGAAAGGGAAUGAAUGAAUGAAUGAGAUGCUGUUUGAAUGAAUGAGAUGCUAUUUGUACUAUAUUUUUGCUUAUUCUCGAAUAUAAAUCGGUGAUGAUGGAAUGUAUAUUGGGUGGAUGUGUUGUGGUGACUUCUUUUCUUCAACUGAAUGUAAACCAGUAGCAAUGAAUCGAAUGGAGUUGGCAUAAGUUGAACAUUCGUAUAUAUAAACCAGCAGCUUCUUUGGUUUGCUGCAAAUCAUCAUUUACAUAGGACAAACAUGAGUGAUUACUCGAGUGCUAUAAGUUGUAUAUAGUGAUCACUUAAGUGCCAGUCGUGAUUAAAAAAAAGUCAUUUAAGUGUCAAGUUAGUAUCAAAAGUGAUCACUUAAGUGCCAUUUGUGAUUAAAAGUGAACACUUAAGUGCCAUUUGUGAUUAAAAGUGAACACUUAAGUGCCGAGUUUUUUAGAAUGUGAUCAGUUAAGUGUCAAUUUUAUUUGUACGUUUCAUCUAUAAACUGCACCAGCCAUCAGCUGCUAUCAGCCACCACGACCGCCCACCACUGGCCACCAUCGGCCUCUAGCCAUCACCACCAGCCACAUCAAGCAUUCCAGGCAUCCACUUGAGCCAUUACUAUGCUGCUGGUAUUCUGCAGUGCAGAAGUUCCUAGUGCCUUACAUCAGCUUGCACCAACACUACCUGGAGCAAGAUGUGUGCAAGAUGUGCAUAUUGCACACUUACAUCUUGCACCAAGUGCAGCACAAACCCCCAACCCCCAACCCCUAUAAUAGACCCACCAGCCUAUCAGUAGGCAUCGGCACCAACAUCUUAGCUACCACACCAGCACGUAGCCACCACCAUAAACCCACCAUUAACAGCCACUGUUGGUGGUGGGUCGUGGGUUUGUUGCAAAAGGGGUUCAUGCAAACUAUACUAGUUACAGCAAAAGGCCCCAACCCAAUCCACAUAGCGGACCCACCACCAUCAAGUUUCACCAACCGCCACCACCAGCCACACAAGCACCCCAGUCACCACCACAGAUCCACCACCAGAAGCAGAAAGCAAUAAGUAAAAGUAAAAACAAAAUACAAAAAAUGAAAAAGGCACCAAAGAUGACAAGCAACAAAAUCAUUUCAUUGAUAUUGAAAUGAAGUCUCACAAAGUCGAUGACAAACUAUUUAAAAGAAAACAUCCACAGUAAAACAAUUGACUCGUCAGCCCCACAAACCAUAUCCCAUCCCAUUUCAUUAAUCAAUAUGCACAAUGCCUCCUGUUCGUGCUCCUUUCACUUGAUUCAUAAUCCUUGUGCUUUUUCUAACUGGACGUGAGGUUUCUUCUUCAACUGUCUCAGGAUGCGUUGAUUCUGAUGGAGGUGCAAUUGUCCUAGGCUGAGCUGAUUGAGAAGGAGCUGGAGCUGCAACUGUCGUAGGCCGAACUGAUUCAGAUGGACCUGUAACUAGGUUUUUCUUACUCUUCUUUCUUGUUGGCGCAACCAAUGUCUUCUUCUUUUUUGUUGGUGCAGCCGUUGAUUCUUGAGUUUGGCCUUGAGAGAUAAGAACCUCUGAACUUCUCCCAGGCUUCAAAAAGAAAACUCAAUUAUUAACAAAAUUUUGCACCAUAAAUUAAAUUAAAUACAGCCUAGUAAGCUUAUAAAACUUACAUUAAGAAUAACUGUUCCAGAACGCUCAUCUGUAUAAAGCCCAUAACCAUACUGUUUUAGCCUCUUUCCAAGAGCUCCUCUUGUUCGAAGGGGAACGUCAGUUUCAGGUACUUGUGAUUGAUUAGCCCUUCUUCUCGCAUGUGAUUUCUUGGGCUCUUAUUGUGGCUGUUUAGCUACAGCAGGGGCUUCUUCUGGGCAUUCGAAUGUUAGACGUCUUGUAGAUGGCCUUCUUGUAGGUGGCUCAUGAUUUGGCUUUCUUUUGGUUGUUUUUCUAUUUAGCCCUUCAGCUUCAAUGACACCUUCUGUUGGCUUUUGUGGUGGCCCUUGUGAUGACCCUUUUAGUGGCCUUUGUGGUGACCUUGGUGAUGGAUCUUGUGGUGACCUUUCAGUUGGGCCCUUUGUUGACAGCUGAGCUCUAGCUUGCCUUCUUCGAACCUGAGAAAAAGACAAAUGAUAUCAUAAAUAUAAACAUCAGGCCAUUGUAAAGGAAAACUAAACACAAAUUAUUUAAGUUACCGGGUAUUUUUUUCUCUGCUUCUGCUGAAGAACAGUCGACUUAACUGGCCCUCCAGUUGCUUCGGCCAAUCCUUGAGCUGGCUGUCUACCUGGCCUUGUUUGAACAGACCCUUCAGUUUCAGGUAUAGCAGGGGCUUCGACCAAUUAUUCACGUGUCAUUCUCCUGACCUGACAAAGACAAAAACAUUAUGUCAAUUAGUUGUACAUAUCNNNNNNNNNNNNNNNNNNNNNNNNNNNNNNNNNNNNNNNNNNNNNNNNNNNNNNNNNNNNNNNNNNNNNNNNNNNNNNNNNNNNNNNNNNNNNNNNNNNNNNNNNNNNNNNNNNNNNNNNNNNNNNNNNNNNNNNNNNNNNNNNNNNNNNNNNNNNNNNNNNNNNNNNNNNNNNNNNNNNNNNNNNNNNNNNNNNNNNNNNNNNNNNNNNNNNNNNNNNNNNNNNNNNNNNNNNNNNNNNNNNNNNNNNNNNNNNNNNNNNNNNNNNNNNNNNNNNUCGUUUUCGCUUUGGUCUUCCCAUUCUCUUCUUUAAUGGCAAAGGUUGAGGUGCUUCAUGAUCUGUUGGCUCCCAGAACUUGGCACCUCUGAUUGGCUGCAACAUGCAUUGGUACGAAGCAAGAUAUCUCGGUUUCUUGUACCAAUCAUCAAGGUAGUCUUCUGUGUUGUGGCCCUUCAAUUGAAUGGCACAUAUGGCAUGUGCACAAGGAAUUCCACUUACUUGCCAUGCUCCACAUGAACACUUCCUCGUACCUAAAUGGACAACAUACUUAUCAGAGCCCUUCAUUAUCUCAUAUCCUUCAUCCCCAUUCCAAAUGGGAUGACAAUACCUACUCGUAGCCAAGUUCUCAUCCAAUUUUUUAGCAAUCCUAGGACCACAUUGCCUAGUCCAGUUUGCAGCCUCAUCCCUUUGUUUGUGCAACCGAGUCAUAACCAUAACCCUUAUGUCUUCAAGCAUCAAGAUAAUUGGUUUGCAUCUGGCAUCUAUUAUUCUUCCAUUGAAUGAUUCGCAGAUGUUGUUAUUUAUGUUAUUGCACUUGAAUUCCUCACUGAAGAACGCCCUACACCAAUACUUUGGUUCUGUUUGGAAUAGUGCAUCAUAACAUUCCCUUGUCAAUUGAAGCAGUUCUUCUUUGGCCAUCCUAAAAUCAGCCAUAUUCGUGCUCUUUGCUAGCUGCCAAAAUUUGAACUGCAGCUUAUCCCCUUUAUAGUUCUUUCCCCAAUUUGCAUAUAUGUGCCGCGCACACAUUCGAUGCUCGGCAUAAGGCAACAACUCAGCUAUAGCUGGAACCAGUCCCUGCAAUAAUUCAAAAAAAGAAAAGAAAUGUAAGCAAACGACAUGUUCAUAUCAACAAGCAAACAAUUGACCAAAUCUUUCAAAGAGUACCUUCUGUUGGUCACUCAUGAACGCCCACCCUGCACCAUUUGUUAUCUCCAAAUCAGCCAUCAAAUUUUUUAGGAACCAGGACCAAUUGUCCUUGUUCUCUACCUUUACAACAGCCCAAGCCAGUGGAAACAUCUGGUUGUUUGCAUCUAUUCCAAUUGCAGCCAACAAUUCUCCCUUGCACAAGCCCUUCAAAAAACACCCGUCCAAUCCUAUAAUCCGUCUACAACCAGAUAAAAAUCCUCGUUUGCAUGCAUCGAAGCAAACAUAGAACUUAUCAAACUUGGUCCCAAUAUCAGGAAGUGGUUGAGAUAGCUAGUGUAAGCACCUAGAGGGGGGUGAAUAGGUGCACAAACAAUUUAUCGAGAUACGUAAGCGAUUCUUGGCAAAUGAUAGAAAUGAAGUUUACUAUGAUUAACGAAAAUGAAGUACGAUCAAAGUAAAGAGAGUAAGGAAGAGAAAAUUGAACACAUGGUUUAUAGUGGUUCGGCUUAUUCCAAGCCUACGUCCACUCUUCCGCACUGACAGCCCACCGGCUGGAUUUCACUAUGAUCAAAAGAGAAGUUACAGCACAGCUUUGCCUUGAUUCCACAGUGUAGAUGUUCUACCACACCUCCUCAAGGUUUCUCACAAAUAUAGACUCUCUUUUGUAUACAAGUAUUCGCUCAAAGUGAUUGUCUAAACAAAAAGGAGCUUCAGACUUUGGAAUUCUUCUAUCGCGCACACCUUGAACAACUAAGACCGUCUUCCUUAUAUACUCCUUUAUGCCAUCAUACCCGUUGGCACUUACCAAAGGAAUUCCUCUAAUCUACCCAUUGGACGGAAUCAAUUAGGAAGAUUGUUCGAGCUAUUAAAGGAACGUGUCGAUAGCCCAUUAAUCCUGUUCGCCCAUACAAUCAGGAUCUCGGUUUCCAUAAGUAGAACCUUCCAAGAAUAUUUAGGCAAUCAUCGAAUCUUCAAUCAUCGAAUCAAUCUCGAUCAAUCAAAGGAUUUUGUUACGUCUUUUCCAGCCACGAGAUCUUCUCCAGUUGAUAAGGUUAAAUCCUUGACGAAACAUCCAGUUCUGGAUAACCUUUCUUCAACGGAUUAGAGAUUGUCAAUGAGGAUAGACUUUGAGUCUUGAGUCUGGCUGUCCGGAGGUCUUCAGACUUUAAAUAGCAGAGUCUGCAAGCCUUCAGACUAGACUGAUGGAAACGUUUUGUCAGCUUCAAAACACUUCAAGAAGAUUUCUCCAACAAUCUCCCCCUUUUUGAUGGUGAUAAAACUUUCCUGCAGAUUUGGAUAACUUUGACCUGCAAAACAUUUAUCAAACACAUAUGCAUAUCUUAUAGAGAUAAAUGGCUAAAUGAAUAACAAUAGAAUCUGCAACCACAGAAAAUAGGUUAGCAGAAAAUAGGUUAGAUUAGUAUACGAUAAAGCCAUCCAUAAGAUAUCAAUAGUAGUUAAUAAAAGCAGUCAAGUCCAAGUCUAGUUCAGUUCUCAUCCAGACACAAAGUCAAAGUCAAACAAAACAAUCCAACAAACAGUCCACACGAUUAAAAGUUUAACGAUUGAAUGUUUGAAAGUUUGAUCAAAUCUUGCAUCUCUCCCCCUUUUUGUCAGCAUUAAAAAGGUUGAGAUGAAGUCAAGAUUGCUUGGGAAUGCGGACAAGCUGGAAAUCUUCCAUAGACUGAACGAUGCCUUCCAGCCUUUUCAAGUCUUCCUUCAGUUGUGCAAUCUCCUCACCCUUGGCAUUGGCCUGAAUCUGAACAGAGAGGGCUUGGAUCUUAUCAUUCAAUGAACAUGAAGAAACUUGACCCGCAUUCUGCAAGUUUUGAACCUCGCAUCCCAAGGCAUAAAUUUGACCUCGCAUCUCCAAGAGAAUAUCUAUGAUUCUGUGAAAAUCUGCUGUAUUAUCAAUCUGAGUACUUGCUUCGGCCCGAUCUGAUGGAGUAAAUGCAGAUGAUGGUAGAUCAGCAUAAUCUCGCAGGUUUGGCGAUGAAACUUCAUGACCUUCUUCUGGAAACUGAGAGGCAUAAACAUCUUCUGGGUUUGCAGGUGAGCGACUGACUCCUUCACUUGCAUCAGGAUAUGAAGACUUCCCUCCUUUCUCUUGAUCUCCCCCUGUUUUCAUGCCUACAGGUGGAGAAGAGAGUUCCUCAGGUUCUCCUUCUUCUCUUCUUUCUUCUUCAGGUCUUUCCUCCUCUGCUUCUUUUUCAGCUUCUCUUUCUUCUUCUUCCUUCUCCUCUGCAUCCUUCUCCUCUGCUUCUUUUGUCAUUUGUUCCGAUUCUUUCUGUGGAACAGGACGACUUAAAUUCUUCAAAGCCAUUGCAGAGAUGGUGAUGUCUUCCUCAUCAUCUUCAUCCUCAACGAGGAGAGCUCUUCUUCUCUUGGAUGGAGCAACCAUGGGCUCCUUCCCUUUUCUUUUAGCUGCAGAAGAGAUUUGAUGAGUUUUGGCAGGAGUCUUCUCCUUGAAUUUUUCCAACUCCUUUCUCAAUUCCUUCAGACGCAUUUUGGUCACCAUUUUCAGUCCUACCACCAUAUGAUCACAUGGUCGAACACAAAAGAUUUGCGGAGGCUGAAUAUUCAGAUGUCUGAAUAACUUCGUAACAAGGCUUGGGUAAGGGAGUUGACUUCUGUCCUUCAUCAUUGCUCUAUACAUGUGAAACAUAACAGUGUGAGGGAGAGAAAACUUUUUCCCAAAGAGGAUGGCAUACAUCAGCUUUGCCUCUGAACUUGAAACAUCAGUUUUGGAAGUUGAUUUCGGUCGGAGGCAAUUAAUCACAAUCUUGUGAAGUAAGAUAUUGAAUGCACUCAUCCUUAAGUAGGUGAUCUUCUCAUCUGUUCUCCUGUCCUUCACCAGUUCCAGUGUGGCUCGAGCAAUGGAAACUUUAAUUGGCUGAUAUCUUCCUCUUUCAACUCCUAACGCAUCUGCCAGCAUAUUCAUAUCCACAACAUAGUCUUGGUCUUUAACGCUGAAAGAGAAUCUAUUCGCAUCCAAAAAGUUAAGAUUUGAAUAGAAAUAUGCAGUUAAUCCAGCAUAGGCCUCGGUAGUGUCAGAGCAGAACUUUUCAAGUUGAAGAUAAUUGAACUUUUCCCUCAAGUUCACAUUCACAGCAUCCAGAAAAUCAAAAUCCACACUCCUAGGGUUUAUUACCCCACGCUUCAGCAAUUUCGAGUACAGAUCCUUUUGUUCCUUCGAUCUGAACAAAUCUCCCAUUUUUCCUUGAUUUUCAACCGCAAUACCCAUUUUCGGUUGAAAUAGGCUGUACAAAUUGUCAUCAUCAUUCCCAUCUACAGGAUUCGGCCCUCAGUCACGAGGAUCACUUGGGAUAUUCGCAAGGGUUUCCUCAGCCACCCCUUUACGAGCAAUUCCCAAACUUUCCAUUUUUCGCAGAAAGAUAUAUUUGUUAUUAUAUCCUUUGUCUUUAAGAAAAUCAUCAACAUAGUUCAAAGGAGUACGAGUUCCUUUUAAGGCACGAUAUAGCUUGUAAAUAUAAGCGGGCUUUUGAACUCUUACAGGGUCUGCAUCCUCGAUGAUUUCUUCCUGUUGUUGAUGAUCAACGGUUUGAGGACUAGAUGGAGGAGAAUGACGCUGCUGAGAAUGUUGUGGGCUCGGUUGCUGUUCUGGAGACACUUCUUCCUCAGUAAGAUCGAAGUGCGUAGGCCCCUCACUCAUUCGCCGUGGUCCCCUGCUUGCGAUUCUAGAAGACUUUCUUGAAGAUGACAUCUUUCUCAGUUUUUGGAAGAUUCCUUGCUUGACUUUCCCAAGAAAGAUGACAACUUUUUGAAGAUUAAACAAAGAAGACAAACGAGAAUGGAGGAUCGAUGCUUUCUAGGGUUUUUGAGAGUAAAGUGAAGAGGAAUCAACAGUGCACGAUCGGUUAAAAAGAGAGAUAAAUGAAUCGUCACAAAGGAAGGUAAAAAGAUGCCUUUUUGAAAUAACUGUCUUUUUCCGUGAAAAUAGUCAUUUUAAAAAUAACUUCUUUUUGGAAAAUGAAAUGAUGCAAUAAUUACGUCGAUUAAAGAUAGCAAUAAAACACGGUUACCAAUCGUACCUUUUCAAGAUAAGAUUCGAGAGAGAGAGAGAGAAAGACUAACUUACAGUCUGACGGUCGUACCAAGACUAACUUACAGUUAAAGUCUUGUAUGUCUGAGUCUGAAAGUCUUUAGACUUUGAUUUCCUCAUACCUCAAAAUGUUGAGUCUGGAACGGAUGGUUUCGAACUGAUUUUUCUCCAACGGCUUUGUGAAUAUAUCCGCCAGUUGGUUCUUUGAGUCAACAAAUUGAAUUGAAACAUCUCCAUUUUGAACAUGGUCUCUAAGUGAUGUCGAAUCUCUUUAUGCUUCGCUCUUGAGUGUAGAAUUGGAUUUUUGGUGAGAUUGAUAGCGCUGGUGUUGUCGCAAUUAAUCUCCGUGCAUGAGUCUUCAAUUCCAAAGUCUCUUAGCUGUUGUUUCAUCCACAGAAUUUGCGAACAACAACUUCCGAGAGCUACAUACUCUGCUUCUGCUGUAGAGAGAGCUACUGUGCUUUGCUUUCUUGAAAACCAAGACACUGUCCUGCCUCCAAAUAGUUGACAAGUACCCGAGGUGCUCUUUCUAUCGACUUUGCAUCCAGCAAGGUCUGCGUCUGAAUAUCCAAGAAGAGUAAAGUCUCCCCUUUUUGGAUACCAGAGACCAAAGCUUGAAGUUGAUGAGAUAUAUUUGAUAAUACGCUUUGCUGCAUUUAAAUGAGAUUCUUUUGGGUCUGAUUGAAAUCUGGCACAGAUGCAAACACUAAACAAAAUGUUAGGUCUAGAAGCAGUAAGAUAAAGAAGAGAUCCGAUGAUACUCCUGUACAGCUUUUGAUCAACUUUCUUCCCUUCUUCAUCUUAGUCUAUCUUCAAGGAACUUGACAUUGGUAUGUCAGCCUUUUUGCAAUUGUCCAGACCAAACUUUUUGAUAAGAUCAUUUGCAUACUUUUCUUGAUGAAUAAAAGUUCUUUCCUCCAAUUGUUUUAUUUGAAGUCCAAGAAAGAAGGUUAACUCACCCAUCAUGCUCAUUUCAAAUUCUUCCUGCAUAAUCUUAGAAAAUUUCUUGCACAGACUUUCAUUAGAGGAUCCAAAGAUAAUAUCAUCGACAUAUAUUUGAACAAGCAGAAAACUUUUGCUUUCGCUUUUAAUAAAAAGAGUAGUGUCCACUUUACCUUUAACAAAUCCAUUUUGAAUUAAAAACUUACUUAAUCUGUCAUACCAAGCUCGAGGUGCUUGCUUUAAGCCAUAUAAGGCCUUUUUGAGUCUGAAUAUUGAGUCUGGUUUCCUUGGGUCUUCAAACCCUGGUGGUUGUUCCACAUAGACUUCCUCAUGGAUGAAUCCAUUUAGGAAAGCACUUUUGACGUCCAUUUGAAAUAACCUGAAAUUUUUAUGACAAGCAAAUGCAAGUAAUAAACGAAUUGCUUCUAACCUUGCUACCGGUGCAUAAGUCUCGUCAUAGUCGAUCCCUUCUUCUUGUGUGUAUCAUUUGGCCACGAGUCUUACUUUGUUUCUUACGACUUUACCUUUCUCGUCCAUCUUGUUUCUGAAAACCCAUUUAGCUCCAAUAAUUGAUUUUCCUUUCGGUUUUGGAGUUAAUUCCUAGACAUCAUUAAUUUUGAAUUGUCUGAGUUCUUCUUGCAUAGCUUCAAUCCAGCUUUCAUCGGAUAAAGCUUCUUCUAUGCUCUUGGGUUCUAUUUUAGAAAUAAGAGCCACGGCACUAGACUCUUUUCGCAUUUUGGAUCUUGUGCGUAUUCCUUCAUUGAUGUCGCCAAUAAUAAGAUCUUUGGGAUGACUGGACUUAUGUUUCCAGUUGCUGAUUAAUUGAUGAUCACUUCCUUCACUUGAAUCUUCAACAGUUACUUGUUGCUGAUCCUUCAAAAUCUGAGCUGCUUCUUGAUAUUUAGACUUUGUUGAGUCUGGAGCAGAUUCAGUCUCUUCAAGAUGAGUCUGAAUGGAUUCAUUUUGAAUGGAAUCUUGGAAUUUGACAUUCAUUGAUUCUUCCACAGUUUGAGUCUUCUUGUUGUAGACUCUGUACGCUUUACUUGUAGUUGAAUAUCCAAGGAAGAUGCCUUCAUCUGACUUUUCUUCAAACUUACCAACUCGAUCAUUUGCAUUUUUCAAUAUGAAACAUUUGCAUCCGAAAACAUGAAAAUAUGAAACAAUUGGCUUCUUUUCUUUAAAUAGUUCAUAAGGGGUUUUUUCUAGAAUAGGCUUUAGAAAGACUCUAUUGAUAAUAUAACAUGAUGCUGAAACUGCUUCAGCCCAAAAUCGUAAAGAGAUAUUGCUUUCAUUUAAAAGAGUUCUAGCCAUUUCUUGAAGAGAUCUAUUCUUCCUUUCCACGACUCCGUUUUGCUCUGGAGUAUAUGGAGAGGAGAACAAAUGUUGAAAACCAGAUUCAUCACAAAAUUUUGCAAAGUCUUGAUUUUCAAAUUCACCUCCAUGGUCUGUUUUUAUACUUGAAAUGACAUACCCUUUUUCAUUUUGAACCUUCUUAGCAAAUUUUUCAAAGUAAGAGAAAGUUUCAGACUUACUUGCCAAGAAAUAUACCCAAGUAAAUCGUGAGUAGUCAUCCACAAUUACUAGGCAAUAUUUCUUACUUCCAAUGCUCUGCGUUCUUGUUGGUUCGAAGAGAUCCAUAUGCAAGAGCUGCAGUACACGGUUAGUGGAAACUUGAUUUAUUGGUUUAAAGGAAUUUCUUACCUGUUUUCCCAAUAUACAUGGUGUACAUAGAUCGGACUUUUGAUAUGAUAAAUUGGGUAGACCACGAACAAGCUUCUUUGCUGAGAUUUUGGCUAUUUGCUUCAUGUUGAUAUGCCCAAGCUUUUUGUGCCAUAAGUUCGCUUCGUCUUGGAUUGAGAUUAGACAUUGCGAUUCAUCUGGUUUCACGUCCAAGAGGUAGAUAUUCCCAUGUCUUCGACCCAUGAAUGACUGAGUAGAGUCUUUACUGGUUCCUGAACAAAUACCUUCUUGAAAGUUGAUUCUAAAACCGGCAUCACAAAGCUGACUGAUACUGAGCAGAUUGUAAUUGAGCCAUUCAACUAAAGAAACAUUGCUUAUUGUGAGGUUCCCAAUCUUUACAGUUCCAACUCCCACUAUUUUUCCUUUGCUGUUUCCUCCAAAUGAGACUUUUCCACCAUUCACUUGAAUGAGCUUUAUGAAGUAAUUUGAAUCUCCUAUCAUGUGUCUGAGCAUCCACUAUCCAGAUACCAUUUCACUUUUUUCUUGAUAGUGAUCUGCAUUCAAAAAGAAACUCAAGCUUUCUUUGGUACCCAUAUUUUCUUGGGUCCUUUUGAGUUAGUCUGAUAUACAGUUUUUGCCCAGACUUUAUUGACAGGUCUCCAAACCAUAGGACAUUCUUUCUCAAAAUGAUCUGCACUAUUGCAUUUUGAACAUCUAAGAGCAUUGCGAUCUACUGGUUUUACAAAGUUCAUUUCAAAAUGAUUUUUGUAAGCGUUUCUUGUGGGUCUUUGUUUGAUUCUUUCUUUUACUUUAGGAAAAUCGAUUAAAGGAAUGGUUUCAGCAGUCAUUCCCAAUCCAGAUUUAUUGAAAUAAGGUCUUUGAGCAGAAAGUAUUUUCUCCAGUUUUUCAGAACCUAAAGAAAAUCUUUUGGAAAUAUUUGAAAUAUCAUUUUUCAAGAAUGCAUUUUCUUUUAAAAGAUUAUUUUCACUUUCUUUGAGAGAAGAAACAUUCUGGUCUAAGCAUUUCACUUUUUCCUCCAAAGCAUUCUCUUGUUGUUUUAAAGCAGAAUUUUCUUUUUUGAGUUCGGAAAUUCUUUUAAGAGAAGUCUUAAGACUAAAACAUAAUUCAUCAAUGUAUUUUGAAACUUUAAUAGGGAUUUUAAAGUUACUUACCUCGAAUUCACUUUCUGAAUCUGAAUCAGUCUCGGAGUUUGAUUCUGAAUCCGAUUGUGCCAUUAGACAUAUGUUGGCAUAAUCAUCAUCACUAUCUUCGCACUCUGUAUCACUCCAGGUUUCAGCUUUGACAGCUUUUCGAUAUCUUUCAGUUUUUCCUUUCUUCUUCCUUAGAAGAGGACAGUUGGGUCUGAUGUGUCCCUUUUUCUUACAUUCAAAGCAGACUACAUCUUUGUUUGAUUCUUCAUCUUCAGCAGACUUGGUCUGUUGCUUUUGAAAACUUUGUUUCUUUGCAUUGAAUCUUCUUCCUUUUCUGUUCAGCUUUCUGAAUCUUCUUAUCAUAAGAGCAUGUUCUUCAUCAUCCACGUCGUCUUCAGAAUCUGUUACAUCAGAAUCAUCAUUAGAUUUUAAUGCAAUAGAUUUCUUACCUUUAGGGUCUUCGUCUUCAUUGAUUUGUUCCACUUCAUAGGAUUGAAGAGUCCCAACCAACUUAUCGACAGACAGUGGCAUGAUUCUUUGGGUCUCCCUGAUUGAGGUCUUUAUGUGAUUCCAAUCCUUGGAGAGUCCACGCAGUAACUUGUUUACUUUCAUGGGAUCAGAAAUUGGUUGGCCUUGAUUUUCAAGACCAUUCACGAUAUCUGUAAAAUGACUAAACAUGUCAGUUAUAGAUUCUCCUGGUUUCAUUCUGAAGGCUUCGUAUUGACCGAGAAGAAUGUUGAUUCUUGUCACUUUCACUCGAUCGGUUCCUUCAUAAGUAAUGUGUAAUCUAUCCCAGACUUCUUUGGCUGUAUCACAAGAAGAUAUUCUGUUAUAUUCAGUAGGUGAUAAAGCACAAUAUAAAGAAUAAAUUGCUUUUGCAUCAAGAGCUUGUCUCUUGAUUAUCUCUUCCUGAGUCAUUUCGCUAGACUCAACAGAGUCUUUUCCUCUUUCUGAGACAGGAGCAGCUUUGGGAACGAUUCAUUUUUCUACAACGUCCCAUUCCAGAGGAUCCUUUGAUCUUAAGAACGCCUUCAUCUUGUUUUUCCAUAUGUUGUAGUCCUUUCCAUCAAAAUAAGGUGGUCUGGUGUUGCUUUGCCUUCUACCAGCCCUGGAGCCAACAUACUAGCCAUGGAUCUUUAACUCUGAAGUAAAAUACUUCAAAAAAAGUGAGUACACGAGCUCUGAUACCAAUUGAGAUAGCUAGUAUAAGCACCUAGAGGGGGGUGAAUAGGUGCACAAACAAUUUAUCGAGAUANNNNNNNNNNNNNNNNNNNNNNNNNNNNNNNNNNNNNNNNNNNNNNNNNNNNNNNNNNNNNNNNNNNNNNNNNNNNNNNNNNNNNNNNNNNNNNNNNNNNNNNNNNNNNNNNNNNNNNNNNNNNNNNNNNNNNNNNNNNNNNNNNNNNNNNNNNNNNNNNNNNNNNNNNNNNNNNNNNNNNNNNNNNNNNNNNNNNNNNNNNNNNNNNNNNNNNNNNNNNNNNNNNNNNNNNNNNNNNNNNNNNNNNNNNNGGUUUCUCACAAAUAUACUCUCUUUUGUAUACAAGUAUUCGCUCAAAGUGAUUAUCUAAACAAAAAGGAGAUUCAGACUUUGGAAUUCUUCUAUCGCGCACACCUUGAACAACUAAGACUGUCUUCCUUAUAUACUCCUUUAUGCCAUCAUACCCGUUGGCACUUACCAAAGGAAUUCCUCCAAUCUACCCGUUGGACGGAAUCAAUUAGGAAGAUUGUUCGAGCUAUUAAAGAAACGUGUCGAUAGCCCAUCAAUCCUGUUCACCCAUACAAUCAAGAUCUCGGUUUCCAUAAGUAGAACCUUCCAAGAAUAUUUAGGCAAUCAUCGAAUCUUCAAUCAUCGAAUCAAUCUCGAUCAAUCAAAGGAUUCCAUUACGUCUUUUCCAGCCACGAGAUCUUCUCCAGUUGAUAAGGUUAAAUCCUUGACGAAACAUCCAGUUCUGAAUAACCUUUCUUCAACGGAUUAGAGACUGUCAAUGAGGAUAGACUUUGAGUCUUGAGUCUGGCUGUCCGGAGGUCUUCAGACUUUAAAUAGCAGAGCCUGCAAGCCUUCAAACUAGACUGAUGGAAACGUUUUGUCAGCUUCAAAACACUUCAAGAAGAUUUCUCCAACAGUGGUCUCUCCACAACCUCUACAUACACUCUACUUGAAGGAUUUUGCAGCCUACACUCCCAAGCAUAAUCCCACACCUGUCCAUAUUCGCUGCUGUAUUGAUCAAUGAGUAUCUUCAUCACCUUUUGCUUCGUUCUUUUGCAUUGAUUCUUGCUUAUAUUGAUGCCAACCUGCUCCUUCACCAGCAACCUGAACUGAGUACUAUUCAUCUGAGGCAUCAUCUUAAUCAUAUUAAAGAAGUGCUUGCACAACCAUGCACUUGUUACCCUUUUAUUUUCAAAAUUAAUGGAACAAGUAUGUUCCUCUUCGUACGCUCUAAUCUGGAAAGAUCCACUUCUCCUAACAAAUGCACCAUAGAUCCUCCAUGGACAAUUUUGCUGCGAACACUUAGCUCUUACAAAGGCCUUAGUGUUUCUAAUGAAGUCAAUGUUCCUCUGUGCAGCAAUGGAGUUCUUCAGUAUAGCUUCCCUAAAUUGUUUUGCAUCUUGAAAUUUCAUACCUACCGACAAAGUAGGAGAGGCAACGGAUGGAUCAUAAGAAGGAAACUUACUUUUCCUUCUCCUUGUAUGCACAACUCCUUCAUCUUCUUCAAGCUCAUCCUGGGAAGUAACAUUCUCAAGGCUUUCUUCAUAAUCAGUCUCCUCACCAAUGGCAACAGCAUCUACAGAGCCUUCGGCUUUAUUUGGAACUUCAUCAGCUACCUGCAAAGCUGCAAAUUUAUCUGUCAAAAAAUCCCUUUGCCUUUUUCUUGACUGUACAAGCUCCUCGUCGUCGUUAUCACUUGUGAAAUUUGCAGUAGGCAACCCUUCAUCAUCAUCAUCACUUGAUUCAGCUACUUCCCAAUCUAAUCCAGUGAUUGUGACAUCACCUAUGUCAUCAUCACUAUGGUGAACUGCAUCUGCGCUCCUCUCCUCUCCAUCAUGUCUAUCCUGCCUUUCUUCGACCCUAACCUCAGUACUACCUUGAAUACCAUUUCCUUCUUGUUCUAUUUGGGCACUUUCUUCAUCAUCAUCUUUAUCCUCACUUUCAUUGUACUCAACAUAUAUUUUUACCUCUUCACCAUGAAGAUAAUGGUAUAGAAUAUCCCUAAAGCCGUUAUCGUUUUCUAAGGUUCGCAAACCAUCUCUUAAACCUUUCCCAGGAAUACAAUACAACAACUUCUAAACUUUACAAGGCAAAUAAGUUAGUAUAUCCCUAACAAAUCCUAUAUAAGAUGCCUUCUUAAUGUCGACAAAAAUGGUGCCCUCAUUUCCACCCUCAUACUCCCACUCAUCCUCCCCAAUUACAAAUUCCCCAGCAUAGCAAACUAUGACAGCGACAUAAUCCUUGGCAUGAGCCAUUUCUGCACCAACAACAAGACAAAGAAUAAUUAGUUUUGGGACCACAUCCACAAAGAACAAUAGACAAUCGCACAAGGGAGUCCCCCCACUCUCAUAGACUUUAUUAAACAGGUCCCCACACUGACAAUAUGCCCAUAUAUGACAGCCAAAAAAGAGGUCGACACUUUAAUAAUUUACCUUCCCUUCCUCUACAAUAUUAAUAAAAAACAGAGGCCCCCACACUGAGAAUAUGCCCCUUCAUGACAGCUAAGAGGUCGCCACUUUAAUUAUUUUGCCUUGCCUUCCAUUCCCUUAAAAUAUAAACCAAAAACAGAGGUCCCCACAACAAGCAUAGGUCCCCACAUUUGCUGAACUAAACCUGCGAUGUGAGAAUGUACAUCCACUUAAUCAAAUCUAUUUUUCCUGUGAAACACAUAGAAUUUCAUUAAAGCAAGCUUGAUGUAAAAUUAUAGGGUAAAAGUUCUGUUUCUCAUCCAGCCAAGAGGAGAAAUCAUACCCCUAAUCUAUAAUGUUUGGCCAUUAAUAUAUUGUGUCAAGAGGUCAUUACACAAUCCAAGCCCUAAAUUUAUCCAUUGCACAGUAGACUAAUACUACAUGUCAAAAGAGCUCAUAGUUUAUAAACUUUAAAAUGAGGUACUUACAUGUGGUUUCAAAUUUGUCCCUUGCAGGUAAAUGAACUUAUAUAAAGUAUCAAAACAAAUUUUGCACUCCUCAAUGCCCUGCAUAUAUGUCGACUAUCUGAUUAGAAACAACAAUCAGGAAAGAAGACUAAAAGAACGAAAAGAUCGGAAUCAAAGGAACAAAAGCAGAUUGAUAGCAAAGUUGCGUGCUCUUUGCAGAGCACUUAAAGGCCAUUAUUCCAGCCACCUGAUUCAAUAACUUUUCACUCAAACACAUUAGUUCCUAGUUCCACAUUAGUCAAUAUUUUGUCUCACUCGAGCCUUGACUGCAUAAAUCAUCGACUGAGGCAAGCAUCUCCACACAAGGGAGUAACCAAACAGAGCGCGCACAUUUCAACAGCAUUUCCAUCGUAGCCUUAAUAAAAUAAUCGAGCGAGCCCUAAUAAAAUAAUCGAGCGAGCCCUAAUAAAAUAAUCGAGCCCUAAUUUCAUCACGAGGGAGGGGGAAAAGGGGCCCAACCUAGAGGAGUGACGAUGGUGAGCAGGGAUGACGACCAACGAUGCUGAGUGGCUACGACAACCAACAACGGCGACCGAUGACCACCUAUGGGCGUGAACGGCGACAGAGAGAAGGGCGGCGACGGCGUGAACAGCGAUGGAGAGAAGGGCGGCGACGACUGAGAUCUAAUGUGAACGCAGAUGGGAAGGAACAACGACGGCUAGGUGUGCUUAAGCCAAAAUGACCUAAACGACGUCGUUUAACACCAACGAAAAACGACGUCGUUUAGGUCAGCUCACUCAGUGUGGGUGGACAACGUCGUUUUGUCGUCCACGUGGGUUUUUUUUCUUUAAACGUUUGCCACCUCAGUAAAAGAAGUCGUCGGGAAACGCCACGUAUGCAAUUUGGCCGGAUUUUAGCCGGAUUGGCACUCAAGUGAUCAAUUUUGCUCCGAUUUUGGCACUUAAGUGUACCUUUCGUAACUUUUGGCACUUAAGUGUCCCUUUGUGCCAACUUUUGGCACUCCAGGGGUCCGUGUCCCGUCUCAAAAGGAUCACUAGCUUUGAUUGCCCCUUUUCACCAUUUAUGCCUUCACCUAUAAGUUCCAACCACACCAAUGCAACAAAAUUUAGUGCUUAAGGACUACCAUCACUAGGUUACCUGACUAUCAACUACAAACAGGGAAAUUGCAUGUCUCAGCUGGAAAAUUGCAUCAAUUUAGAAUGUCACCCGAACAAAUGUAUCUUACAUUGAGCAAUAUCAAAGGGAUAUACACAGCAAACAUCCGCAAGGUCAUCACUCUAAAUGAAAACCUUAACUUAUGAUACUCCAGAGAACAUGGCAUGUCCUGUAGGGUCGAGGAGGGCACUCAAGCAACAUUAUAAAGGUGUUCACCAAAGUGUGAGAUAAAUUGAGUGAACUUCAUAUAUAAAAUCGUGGUAUUGAUCUAUGAGCAAUAUAAACUGAGGAAAAGCCAAGGAAGAGUGUCUUAAAGAGGAUGUAAUGCUCCUUGGAACAAAUUCUUCAGCCAUUUCAACACAGAAAUCAGAGAUACUUAAAAGUUCAAACACAGAGGAUAAAAUUUUAACCAAACUUCUUUUUAUACUGCUUAAAAAUGAGCUGCCCUUUACAAGCAUUGAGGGGUUUAUUUCCAGGAGUAUAGACAAUCAGAACCCACGAUCACUUCUUUCUCUUCCUUUUUGUUUGGUCAUUUCUAGUAUGAACAAGAGAAGCAGGAUGAGAGUGAUACACUCAUACUCCACAAAAGGGUCCAGCAGCUUGCAAUGAUAUAUCUGAUAGAGCUUAAUUGCUAACAAAUUCAAAAUUAAUCAACCUGAGGUAGGAAUAGUAAUGGCAAGGAUAAAAACAUCUCAUAACACAAUUUUCAAGAGUAAAUCAAAAUGAUGGGUAAGCCAAACUCCAUGAACACCAGGUGAUCAAUAAACAAGUGGACAAAUUUCAUGUAUCGAAUCCCAUUUUAGGGUAGUCACCAUUCUUCCACUACAAACUGAGGAUUCAAUUGGCUAACAUGUAGCCACAAAAGCACAUUACACAGAAAAUGAGGCAGAUGGUAUACGAAGCAUUAUGUAAAAUGCAGUUCUUGUUACCUAAAAACUUCAAAUUGCAUUUGAUGAAUGCCAAUGUUCAGAGUGGAUAAAUCACAAAAGAACAGAACAAGGGAAGCCACUCUCAAGCAGAGGAACCCUCUUCAAUUUUGGUAUAUUCCAUAUAUAUCCACUGGAUAAAAUUGCAAAUCGUGGUCCCAUCACAUAUGCUCCAGUUCUAGACGAUUCCAUAGAGCCACGUGAGUUAACUUUGGGAAGGAGGAGUGCUCAUGUUGGCUAAUCAAACCUAAUCAAAUUAAAUAGAACGAAUGUAAACAAUCUAAAGACAUUAGAGACUUCUCUGGCCAAUCGAACUUAAUCAAAUAAAACAGAAAGUGAUUUAGUGUGCAAAUAUGCAAUUGGAAAUACGAAGUCCAAGAAAAGUAAGCAUUUAUCUGAAAGACUAAUUUACACUGGUUUAAUUUUGGCUUAAAGUAUAGUGAUUGAUUUAAAAAUCAGAAAGGACUCGACAGUGAAGAUAGAUAGUACUGGAUGAGCUAUAACAGAAAAGGCAAUUAAAAGAAAAGGAAGAAUGGAUUGACAUGCUAUCUAAGCACUCCCAACUAAUAAAGCAUAAGUUAAGAAUUGACCCGAUAUUUUAGCACUUUAAGUGUUAUAAUAAUUUACCUGAAUGCAUAGCCCUUUGAUCUACUUUAUUUGUCAGUGGCCCAUUUGACACGUAUCUAAUUGUUAAAGUAAUGAAACAUUUUUCUUAUUCCAGUUUAAUGAAAUUUAAAAAAAAAAAACAAAUUUUACAUUUCUAGGCUUCAGCAUCUUUCUAACAAGGGUGUCAUAAUCAAUUAUUUUGUAUAUAUGAGAAAUGGAAGACAGAAAAUAUUCCUACACUGAUAGUAACUUUUCUGCAGCCAUUAAUUAUUUGUUAUCUCCUUAUUGUGAUCAUUUUGACCCAAAAAGUGACUGUUUGACGUAUAAGAAUUUGUAUCAGUCUAUCCAAAAUUUUUGUAUUCUUAGAAUGGCUCUUAUAGUAAAGUCGGCGAGAAGACCAUCAUUUAAAUGUACAAAGAGAACCUUGCCCAAAAAAAGGAAAAGCGUGGACUAUUGCCGUUGUUACUCAUUCAAUGUUAAGGGAGUAUUUCUAGUUUCUGAACAACACCGUAACUAUUAAGUUUCAAUAAUCAUAUAACCAUUUUGCUAUACUCUCAAGCUGUAAUAAGUCAUUUAUCAGUGAGUAGUACGGGCAGUUCCUAAGUAGUGAUGUGGUAUACAACUUGGUAUAAAAAUUUUGGGGAAAAAACCGAACUUCUGUACCGCGGGAGAUCAAUCCUUAGAAGGCCCCGUGGGAGAUGGAGAGGAUAACAGAGUAAAAUUUGUAGGUGACUCACCAAGAACAUUCGACCAAGUGUUCUAAUGAAUCACGGGCAAGGGGAUUGUCCCACUCCAGCGACUCCCACGUCUGCUGAUCUAUCUGAAUCUCCCAAAGAGAGGGGGGAGGAGAAGGGAGCCCAUUGUCAAGUAGGGACAGCUGCAGAGGAAUCCUCCUUAGUUUCGGACAAUUGUAUAUAGAAAUCCACCGGAGGGAAUUGCAACCCAUGGUCCCAUCACAUAUGCUCUUCAGUUCCGGAAGAUUCCAUGGACCCAGGUGAAUUAACUUUGGGAAAGAGUGCGUCAUGUUGGCAGUGCCUAUUAUCACCUCUAUGCCCUUGCAGUCUUCGAUUGAUAUCUCUAGGAGGAAAAGGAGGUGAAGCGAUAUGUCUUGCGUCAGCAGCCUCUUCAUGUUGUUGCAUCCGUUUACUUCGAGAUACGUGAGAAAACAAGUGGCACCGCUUGGUAGUGACCCACUAAUUAUCUCCUCUAAUUCAUCACAAUUAUAUACAAUAAUCUCCUCCAGUUUUGAAAAGCAAGUGAUCAUCCACUCCCAUCCCAUCACACUCUUCAAUUUAUGACACCUGGACACUCCCAAUGAUUGCACACUUUCUGGAAUAAGAGCACAGUGAUCACUGCUUGUUCCAUCUAUGCUUGCAAUGAUAUGGUCACAACUAUUGAUGAAUAUACGCCUGUAAGUCUGAGACUCGCAGUGAUACGGUGCAUCCAUCACAAGCUUGUAUUGUUGGGAACUAUUUUGCUCAAGAAACCUCAUGCAUGCAUUGAAUGUUUCCACGUCGGGAACAGAACAAUCAAGUGCUUCCAACUUCUUUAAUUUUGCUACUUCUCCUGCCCUCACCUUUUUAAUCAUAAGGUAUUGCAAAUUCACCAGAUUCCCCAACACUCCUUGUGUUAAUGUCUCGAUCUUUGUGCCAUCUAAGUCAAGGUACCUCAGGUUGACCAACAUCUCCAUUCCCUCCGGCACUUCAUCAAGGCUUGAACACCCUUGGAGGUCCAACUUUCUGAGGUGUCCCAACUUUCCUACAUGAGGAAUAAGUUUUAAUGCCCGACACCUCCGCAGUAGCAGUACUUCCAAUUUGUCCAAGUGACAGACGGACUCCGGCAAUUCCGCGAUUUGGGUGUUGCUGAGAUCUAGAUUCUUCAGCACCUUCAAAUUUCUGAAGAAAGAAGUGUGGAUAUUUCCCAACAUGACAUUGUUAUUUAACAACAACCUGGUAAGUUUAGGGCAAUUUGGCGAUAUGCCGUGUGUAAUUUCUUCUAUUUUGUUGCCUUGUAAAUAGACUCUCUCUAGGCAAUCGGUCCAGAAUACUUCCUCUGGUAUUUCUUUCAACCCCAUAUAGGCCUUAACCAUGUGAGUUGUGCUCGUCACCAUAUGCAAUGCCAUGUACCUUGUCAAUGGGUGUAGAUAUAGACACUCUACCUCUAGAUCAUCCAACAGGCAAGCCUUUCUCAUUUUAUCCAAUAUGGUGUUACCUUGGUCAUGCAGUUCUUGCAAGGUUGCAAGUCCAUCUAACAAACCCUCAUCUAUGAACGACUCUAUCAAAUGCUCUCUACUAGUUUCUAAAAGGUCUUCACCAAAACAAAGUGCUAAAUGCAAGAAACACUAUUGCACUUGAUGAUCACCCAAGUUCAUGUAACUGAGUUUCAGUCCUUUGAACGCCUCAAGUUCUAUCCUUGAGUCUUUGAAUUUUUGCAACAUGCCUUUCCAUUCGUGAACUUUCUCUACUCCCCUCAUGCGAGUCCCUAUAUCAAUGAUCCCAAGUGGCAAACCAUCACACUUGUGCAUGAUAAACUUCGCAAUUUCUUCAAUAUCUGAAGGGAGUUUUCCAGCGAAGCAAAGUACCUUUAAAAAUAACCUCCAAGACUCUUCCCUCUCAAGAGGUUUUAUUUUGAUUUGCUUUUGACAGAGCAUCAUAAAACACACAUCUAGUGAUCGAGUAGAGAGCACCAACUUUACACUGCCCAUUUCAACUGGAAUUCCCACGUCUUUAACUUCGAAAUGCAUCCACAGGCCAUCUAAAAUUAGAACAGAUUUCUUCAUCCUCAGAUGUCCAUACAGUAUGCUUGCCCUCCUCUUCACGUCCUUCUCAUUUGAGAUAUUGUGUAGCCCGACUGCAUUGGCAAUCUCUUCUUGCAGUGCAUAUGUGCUAAAUUCCAAAGGCACAUUGACCCAUAAUACAUCAUCAAAAGCACGAUUCUCCAAGAGUUUAUUAUGGACAUGCGUCAAAAUGGCUGUCUUGCCCACUCCAACCAUUCCAACAACACCAAUGAUGGAAAUGUUCUCCUGCACUAAAUAGGAAUAAAUUUCAUUAAUCUUUCGGUGAGUCCCUCCGCCUACUAAUUCUGUUGUCACUAAGGGAGAUCUUCUGCUGCAUCCUUUAGCAAGUGUCGUUGUCUCUUGGAGGAAUCUUUCUAGAAUUGGAAGAAUCUCUUUAAAUUCUUUGACUGCCUGCCCCAAGCUGCAACAUCCUUUUAAUUUCCUCCACUUUGACUCAUUCAUGUUCUCUACGCCCCUGCUCGUAAGUUCUUCCCGCUUCCUUUUGAUAGAUUUCAUAUUCUCGAUGGCAGGCCCACAAGUACUUGGUUUACUCUGUGUUCUGGCAUCUAACGUCAAUCAUAAAUAAAAAUUCAAUAUGUGCUUUUUCCUAGACAGUUUUUAUAGAAAUGUGACGCUCACAGAUAAAUAAUUCGUUUGUAACAGUGUAUUCAACACUUUCAUAACAAAUGUAUCAUUUACAACCUCCCAUCAAAUAUAUAAGGAAUAAAGGCACUGCUAAUCCCCAAUCCUCUGCAAAAUAUUCAAUCAUGUCCCUGAAUUCUUGAACUAUAUAUUCUGGGACAGUUUCAAAUGCAAAAUAUGCGCAAUCGUGUGGAACAUAAUUUUUUAAAUACUUGACAUUUAUUGUCAUGACUCCGAUGGAGGAACUUGUUCGGUCAACUUAAUAUUUCUGACUAUAGAUCUUUGAGAUGGAACAUAUGGAUGAUUAUAGAUUUCUUAUCAAAACAUGCAUAAGAACCUGGAGAUGCAGAACUGGAGAUUCAUUAGGAUUAACGAUUUGCUAAAGUGAGCAUGAAGAAUAAAUGCAUUACCAGGGAAAGCUCACAAGUGCACGUGCGACAUGCCUCAACCUUGCGCAGAAUUACUAGCCACUUCUAUAGAUAUAUGCAGAAUUGGAGAUUUGCUAGGAUUAAAGAUGUGCUAAAGCGAGCAUAAAGAAUGAAUUACUACGUAAAGCUCGCACGUCGACCUUGUGCGAACUUCAUUAGCCAUUAUAUUAGAUAUGGAUAGAUGUUCGAGUGUGGAUAGUUCCCCAAAACCCCACACAAUUUGACCAACUCGAUAUGUUGAAAGCUUCCAAACUUAGCAACACAUAAUUCGCUGCAACAUCUACAACCCUUUUUCUAUUACGAAGAAAAGUAGAAACCAGAAAGUGGUUAACCAGAUACACGCUAGCGCCCUUCUAUGCAUCCUCCUUUUCACUUUGGAAGUAAUUUUAGUGAUUGAAGUGAUAUCCACAUAGUUGAAAUAUGUUCAAAAUUUUGGUACAUGAGAAUGAAAUUAAACUGGUGCUCUUGUGUGUACUGAUACAAUCGUCCAUCUCCAACAAAGUCGGCCCACUAGCAACUUAUAUACAAGUGCGAGAUUAUCACGUGCUUAGAUAGAGAGCAAUGAAUGGCUUUUCGAGAUUUGAACGUCAGGAUUAAAGGCAUUUGUUCCUUCAUAUUGGAAGGAUCUAUUAAUCAUCAAUGACGGACUUUUAAGUUCCUCUCUUCCUAUUCUAUUCUGUGUCUUCUAUUACAAUUAGAAAUCUAGACGUCCUGCCUUUAUCCUUAUUACCAGGUAAGGAUUGGGACACAGAUUACGGGUCCGAAUGAGCUUUAGAAAAAUGGUAAAAUGGUGAAUUUGAAGAUGCACGUACCAUGUGGAAGAACCCCUAUACUGGAUUCACCUUCAUCUGCAUUCGGUGGGAUUAUUUUAACCAAGGAUACUGGGUCGAAUGAAGAGUGCGUCUCGGUCAUCAUGCGUCCAGCAGGAGUAAAUGGGAACGGCUGAGGCAAUGGACAAACGGCAGUGCUUAUGACACCGGAGCUCACGUAAGGCAUGGCAGCCGUUGCAUCUUCAUUGCUCGCGGUCGCAGGCUGGUGCGGACCCUCCUCAACAUCGCAUCGCCCGUUGCUCGAUUCCACCGCUAUUUUAGCCUUCAACGCUUCUCCGGCUUCUGAUCUAACUCGGUCGUCGCCCAACAGGAACCUAUGAAAGAGGAAGUGGCCCAUCAAUGCCUGCAGUCCCACAGACUGCUUCCCGCAUAAUUUACAGCUCCACCCAUAAUCAUAAUCAGGCAGAGCUCCGGCCCCAACAACCUCCGUGGCGGCUAUCGCCAAUGUCCUGUAUCACGAAGAAGAGUUCGAGUGACUGGAGAACAGGCAAGACGUAUGAAGCAGUUAUCAGAUUUUGCUCCUCAGAUUGGAAACUAACCUUUUGGUGUCUUCAUCAAUGUUUUCUUCCCUUUCCGAAGGCGGUUUCCUCUCUUGUUCUGCUUCUGCAAUCUCUCUGUUCGGAGAUUUCUCAGUCGCCAUGGCCUUGCUGCGUUCCUCCAGGCACCGGUUCCGCCGUUGCCGAAAGAAAAUUCUGCAAGAGGAUGCAAUCUCACUGGCAAAUCCCCCUCGACCGAGCUCCAAAAGAUCUCGCCCUUCGCCCCAACCCAAAUCUCGCCAUUGAAUCCCGCUUUACCGCAAAAUACGAAGCGGUGCGAUACUGCGAGACUCGCCCUGGAUUUUGCCUGCCGCAGACUACGCAAAAUAUAUGAAGAUUAAAAGAACCUUCCUACCCAAAAAACAACAGAGAGGGAGAGAGAUUAAAAUAACCAAAAUAAAUCGAUAGGGAACGUGGCGUUCGGAACGUCACCGUCCCCGAGGUUGUCUCACGGAAACGUGCUAAUGGUAAUGGGGCCAUCCACGCCGUUAGUUUCGAAGAAGCAAAGGAGCAUCGUUGGAUAGAUUACAGCUUAGAAGAAAUUACAGAUUAACAUGGGAAAAAUUUUAUCUGGUAGGAUGUAUCUCAAAUUAUAUAAGAUUUUCAAAGAUUAUUACCUGAUUUAGGAUAGAUUCUUAUUUCUUUUUUAGCAUCGCGAUUACUUAAUUAUCUAGAAUAUUAUUGAUUUUAAUUUAUCUUAGGAGAGAGUUUACUUUCUCAAUCGAAAAAAAAGUUUCAAAUAAAUACGACAAACUCUCUUUCACUAAAGAUGUAUGGAAAUUACUAAUCGUCUCAUGCUUUCUUAAUUUGGAUAAAUUUCAAUUUCUGAGGGAUUGUAUUCAUGAUCUGACGACAUUUGGCCAUCUAUCGGACUCUCUAACGGUGGUCUGUAUCUUGAAUGCCAUCUUCGGUUAUUUGACGGCCCUGUCUCCGGAUUACUGGACCUAUUGCCUCCUCCGCUUCAUUACUGGAUUUAGCACGGGCGGGGUCGGCCUAUGCGCUUUCGUACUGGCCACCGAGCCUAUUGGCCCAAAGAAGCGCGGGGCGGCAGGAAUGUCCACUUUCUACUUCUUCUCAUGCGUCAUAGCUCUUCUCUCCGGCAUCGCUUAUGUGUUUUGCUCAUGGCGGGAGCUCUACAUCGCUUCCUCCAUUCCGUCCAUGCUCUUCCUCGUGGGGGUCCUCCCUUUCAUCUCAGAGUCCCCACGGUGGUAUCUCGUCCGGGGAAAGAUUGAUGAGGCCAUGAAGCUUAUGCGAGCUAUCGCCAAAGCCAACAAGUAACACCUCCCCGAUGGGGUCAUCCUCGCACUUGAUGAGGAAGUGAAUGAAAACUCGAACGAUGGUCCAUCCUGCAAAGAUCAGAUGGACACAAAGGAUGCAAUAACAGGGUCUCUCAUCGAUGUGGUGAAGUCGCCUGUCACUCGGAUUCGCCUUUUCUUGGCGGUGGCAAUCAACUUUCUUUGUUCGGUCGUGUACUACGGCAUUAGCCUAAACGUUGUCAAUCUCCAGACCAACCUUUACCUUAGUGUGUUCCUCAACGGCGUGGCUGAAAUGCCAGCCUUUACAAUAACGGCCCUAUUGCUUGAUAAGUUCGGGAGGAAGCCGCUGGCAAUCGGAACACAGUGGUUCAGUGGAAUAUUCUGUCUUAUAGGGAGCUUGGUGAUGAUACACGGGGAAUGGAAAGUGGCGAGGAUGGUGUGCGGAAUUCUUGGGAUUUUCGGGAUGGCCGGCACGUAUAAUUUGCUCUUCAUCUACAUGGCUGAGCUGUUUCCGACCGUGGUGAGGAAUGCGGCUCUUGGCUGUGGAGCUCAGGCGGCGCAAAUGGGUGCGAUUUUGGCGCCUUUAGUGGUGGUCUUAGGAGGCGGCUUCCCCUUUGCGGUCUUUGCGGUUUGUGCAAUUCUGGGAGGGAUACUAGCAUUUUACCUCCCGGAGACACUGAAUCGGCCUUUGUAUGAUACAAUGGCUGGAAUGGAAGGUGGGGAGAGUGUAUGAAGGAGCUCAAUCCUCUUACUUCAAACUAAACUUGAUUAAUGUAGGCUUAAAUGACUCUUCUUGAUGAUAGGAUUUUCCUUUUUUUCCUUUGGGACAUGAGAGUGCAGGAUGGCAGAAUCUGUCUCUUAUAAAAGGGGAGAACGUUUGUAAAAGUGUAUCUUUCAAAUCACUCAUGUUGCCUUAAGGCAGUUGCCAUCACGUGAUGAGAACACAUUAUGCUGACCUUCGACUCUUAGUGUUGUCAGAUUAAUGCAUUAAACUCCACAUAAUGUUGCUAUCAGCAUCACUGAUCCUACUAUCGAUAUGUUGAAAAGAAAACGUUUGUGUCUGAUCAUUCUGCCUUCGUGCAAGAGCAUCAAACCCACCGGUUCUUUGAAAUAAAAGGCGAGUUCACCGCAAGAUUAGUGCUUAAGGGACUACCCCCACUAGGUGGUACAGUCGACUCUAUCCUGAAUAUGCAGAAAAUUACAUCUCUUAGACGAGGAAAAGAUUCUGCUUUUCAUCUUGUACUUUCGCACAUUUACUAAUCAAGUUAUUUUAGUUUCAUAAUAUUUUAUCGUCUUGGCACCGAAUCUGACCAAACCAAGCUGACGUGGCCGUUGGAUGAUACCAAAGUAUGAGGCGGAUACUUAUGUGGACAUGGGUGGAAAAAUAUAGCCAAUGUAGACGUCGGAGUUGAUGUGGAUAAGACUUUUGCCAUGUAAACGGUCAUGCAGACGUCUACAUUACAGAAAUAUUAUCCCCUCACACUAUGACGUUGUCCGGGGCUGUGUCAGCUGAAUUUGACCAAAUUUGAUGUUGGAGGGACUUAAAUAGAAAAUGUGAAGAUAGACAAAAAAAGAAAAGUAAAUUGAUUUAAAAAAAGAGCGUAAAAGUAUAUGGAUGAAAAGUAGAAAUAUUUUGACGAAGCUGGAUAGAAUCUCGUGAGUUUUGGCAUGAUGGAGGAGGAAAAGGCGGGUCAGUUCAAGAAAAACAAAUGGGACAGUUGGCCAGUGUUCUCCAUACUGAGGAAAUUACAUGCAACUGUGAGAAAUCCAAAGUAGGGUUCAUGCAGAAUCAAAGUGGUGAAGGAACUCAAUUGUGAAGUUCCUUUUUCUCGCGUUUACUCUCUACUUUCUUUGUGAUUGUGUGACGAAUCCUAACAAUCGUGAUGUUAUAGAACUUGGAGUCUCAAAUAGACAAAGGUGCGCAUAUGCGCAUGAAGUAGACAUAUACUCUUUGAGAGCUUCACCUCUCUUCACAUUCUCUUUGUCCUUUCAUUUCCUCGCAAUUUCAAUUCCUGUUUGUUUUCCUUUCCGAUGUACUUCAAUUCCCAUGAAUUUCCCUUUAAAGUAGCUUCAGUUCGAUACAUUUGUCUCUAUUGGCACUUGGUUUCGAGUUGAUUCAUCACUACAUCCAAAUCCCAUUUGCAUAUUUUGUGUUUGAGCAUGAAACUGCGGAGCCAAUCGUCUAAAGUUCGACACAAUCGACUGACUUGUUUUUCGUCGACUGCAAUAAAAGGUGACUCUACAACAAUAUUUAGUGCUUAAGGACUACCAUCACCAGGUGGUACAGCUAACUCCGAAAUGGAUAGGCAAAAAGUUGUAUCUCUUAGCGAACAAGAUGCAUGCAGGGGAAACCAAAAGAUGGAUUUAGAGGACAAAAAUGUUAAAAAACAGAGGAGAUGCAGAUAUGCAGAUAUGCACAAGAGUAGCGUUAAAAACAGAGGAGAACAGAGGAGAUACUGAUAUUCACAAAAACAGAGGAACCGUUUGCAGAACCACACACAUAAAAAAUUGACACCAUAGCCUUUAUAUAGGCUUUACAAAAACAAAUAACCACCACAGCCCACUAACUUCACACGUACAACAACCAAUCCACAUAAUAGAAGUGCUUAAUAGACUAUUAACACAUAAAAAACAAACCAGAAACAUUGACUCGUUCAACAUUCCCUCCCUUAAACUGAUGUUGCAAACAAUCAGUUUAAAGGACCUUCUCUCAAUUUGGAAUAUCCAACAAACGAACACCAAUGAGCUUUCUCAACUUCUGAAACAUGGACAACUUUAGGGGCUUGGUGAAUAUAUCAGCCACUUGAUCUUCACUUCUACAAAAAACUAGGUCAACUACUUCAUCCUUUGUAAGAUCUCUUAAGAAGUGGUACAUCGCAUCUAUAUGCUUGCUCCUCCCAUGUAGAACUGGAUUUUUGGACAGCUUGAUAGCUGAGCUAUUGUCACAAUAGAUUAUAGUUGCUUCUUGCUAUUUGAACUGAAGCUCUCCAAGAAUCUUCCAUAACCAUAUGGCUUGACAGGCGCAUGAAGUUGCAACAACAAAUUCUGCUUCAGUUGUUGAUAAAGUAACAAUUGAUUGUUUCUUUGAAGACCAUGAAACCGCCCCUAAACCAAGCAUGAAUACAUACCCUGAAGUACUUCUUCUAUCAUCAACAUCUCCAGCAUAAUUGCUAUCUGUAAACCCAAACAAAUCUUACUUUUCUCCCUUUUUAUAGAACAGCCCAAAAUUUUUAGCUCCUUGCAAAUAGCGAAAAAUCUUUUUUGCAGCUUGUAAAUGUAACUCUGUUGGGUGCUCCAUAUACCUGCUUAUAAGGCUCACAGCAUGCAUGAUAUCUGGUCUUGUCCCCGUCAAAUACAUCAGGCUUCCAACAAUUUGCUUGUAGAGAGUGCUAUCCACCUUACUUCCAUUAGGAUCUUUCAAGAGCUUCAAUCCAACUUCAAUUGGAGUAGUCACGGGGUUACAAUUAUUCAUUUGAAACCUGUCCAAAAUCUCUUGAACAUACUUCUUUUGAGACAUAAAGAUUCCAGUUGCAGAUUGAAUUACUUCUAUGCCCAGAAAUAAUGCAUCAAUCCAAGAUCAGUCAUCUCAAAUUCAUCCAUCAUAGACUCCUUGAAUUUGUCAAACAUGGCACUAUCACUCCCAGUAAAAAUAAAAUCAUCCACAUAUAAGCAUACAAGAAGCAACUUUCCACCAUCACCAAUUUUAAUAAAGAGUGUAUGCUCAUAUGGACAUUUUCUAAAACCUUUCUUCAAGAAAUAGGCAUCAAUGCGACUAUACCAAGCUCGGGGAGCUUGUUUUAACCCAUAUAGUGCCUUCUUUAAUUUAUAAACUUUAUAUUCACUACCGAGCUUCACAUAACCAGAAGGUUGAUCAACAAAUACCUUUUCUUGAAGAUCACCAUGCAAGAAUGCUGACUUCACAUCCAAUUGGAAGAUAGGCCAUGAAUUUUGUGCUGCUAAUGCAAUUACUAAUCUGAUUGUGUCAAGUCUUGCUACAGGUGCAAAUACUUCUUUGUAAUCCACUCCAAAUUCUUGCUUGUAGCCUUUCGCCACCAAGCGCGCCUUAUACUUAUCAACUUCACCAUUCUUGUUCAAUUUUGUCUUGUACACCCACUUGACUCCGAUUGUUUUGUGUCCUUUUGGAAGAUCUGUUAACUCCCAAGUGUUAUUCCUCUCAAUAGUUGCAAUUUCUUCAUCCAUUGCUAUCCUCCAAUUUUCUUUUUGUACUGCUUCAUCAAAAGUUGUUGGAUCACAAUCUGAAAACAAAGCAAAAUGGAUAAGUGGAUCUUCAUAUUGAUCAACUCAUGUUACUUCAUAAUCACUCAUCCAUGCAGGCCUCCGUCGAACACGAUGAGGCUGAUCUUCAGGUUUCGCAGCUGCUGCUGUACUUUGGACACUGCCUGUGGCGAUUUGGGUUGUUGUGGAUUGCUACACCAGCUCAUUUUCAUCUUCAAAAUUCGUUGGAAUUUGCUUACCAACACCUUGCUCACCCCACGGCCAAGUUUGUUCUUCAUCAAAAAUCACAUCACAGCUGAUAAUGAUUUUCUUGAUCAUAGGAUCAUAAAGUUUAUAGGCUUUUGAUUGAUCACUAAUGCCAAGAAAAACAUAUUUGACUCCCUUGUCAUCUAACUUCUUCCUCUUUUGGUCAGGAAUAUAGGCGUAGGCAAUACACCCCAAAAAUCUUGAAGUGAUCUACUGCAGGUCUUUGGCCGCUCCAUGCUUCUUCCGGUGUCAUAUUUUGAACAGCUAGAGUGAGACUUCUAUUUAAAAUAUGAAUGCUCCAAUUAACUGCUUCUGGCCAGAAAUUUUUUGGAAUUCCACUUCCCCUCAAGAGACUUCGCACCAUAUUCAGAAUGGUACGAUUCUUCCUCUCACAUACGCCAUUUUGCUGUGGUGUAUAGGCUGCUGUAAGUUGUCUCUUGAUGCCAUGCUUUACACAAAAAUCUAUAAACUCAAGUGAGUUGUACUCUCCACCACGAUCCGUGCGAAGGACCUUUAUUUGAUUUCCUCCAUCCUUUUCAACAAGUUCUUUGAAGUUCUUGAAAGCUGCAAAAGCUUCAGAUUUUUCUUGUAAAAAAUACACCCAAAUCUUCCGGCUAAAAUCAUCGAUGAAGGUAAUGAUAUACCGUUUACCUCCAUUGGAAAUUGGAGAUAUUGGUCCGCAAAUAUCUGAAUGAACCAAUGCCAACGGACUUUUUGCUCUCCACGAUUUUCUUUGUGGAAAUUGAGCACGAUGUUGCUUGCUAACAACACAAUCUUCACAAAUUUCCAAGGAGUAGAGAUUUGAGGAAGACCCUCCACCAUCUCUUUUUUAUAUAGUGUUCGCAACCCACCGAAAUUAAGAUGCCCAUAGCGAAAAUGUCAUAACCAAGCUUCCUCCUUCAAUCUUGCAGAGAAACAUGAAUUUGUAGUGUUGUGGAGAUACAGUGGAAACAUCCGAUUGCCUGUCAUUUUGACUUCGGCAAUUAAACCCAACUUCUCAUCUUGGAUUCUGCAAAUCCCACCUUUAAUAGAGAUUUCAUAUCCCUUCUCUUGCAGCUGACCAUCACUUAACAGAUUAGUCUUCAAUUCAGGGGCAUACAAUACAUUUGAGAUAGUUUGUACCGAAGUCCCUUUUGGAUGAAUUGCCACUGUUCCUUUCCCCAUCACUGACACAAUGGAAUUAUCACCAAACUUUACGAUGUUGUUGUACGUUUCGUCUAGAUCAAAAAAACAUUUUCUUGUCUCCACACAUGUGAUUGCUACAACCAGUGUCGAGAUACCACAUGUUUGGUUGAGUUUCUUCAUUCUCAUGGCACACCAUCAAAAGAGAUACUUCUUCUUCUUUUUCAACAAAGUUAGUUCUUUCAAUUCUUUGUUUAUUCAAAUUAGUUCGACAUUCAGAUUUGUAAUGCCUAUACCUGUGGCAUCUAAAACACUCCACUUUGGAUUUGUCUGCUGACCUUGGCCUAAAACCAGUUGAAUGUCGUCCUCCACGACCUCUUCCUCUCCCUUGGAAAUCACGAUAGGAAUAGCUUUCAGACUUUUGAUCAAAGAUGAAGCUGCUGCGAUCGUUGUUCUCCCUUCCUCUGCCUCUUCCUUUGUUCACCCUUGCUGCUGAUGAAGAAUGAUCUCCAGUUGAGACCUUCAAAGCUUGCUCUUCCGUCUCUUGUUGUAGUAGUUUUUGUUCAUGAACUAACAAGGAUCCUUGCAACUCAUCAAUGGAAAGUUCUUCAAUGUCCUUGGCUUCUUCUAUGGAACAAACAAUAAAGUUGAACUUUGGUGUCAAAGAUCAAAGAAUCUUUUCAACGAUGAUGACAUCCUCCGUCUUGUCGCCAUGAAUCCGCAUCUUAUUAACUAUUUCCAUUGUCCGAGAGAAGAAAUCUGUGAUUGUCUCUCCCGACUUCAUUCGUAGCAUUUCAAACUCCGAACGAAGCAUUUGAAGCUGCUGCUUCUUUGCUCUUGCUGAGCCUUGAUACUUUUUCUUCAUGGAAUCCCAUAUUUCCUUGGAGGUAUCCUUGCAAAGAAUUUUCUCCAAAAUGGAUCUGUCAAUUGCUUGGAAAAGAUAGUUUUUGGCCUUGAGAUCCUUCAAUUUUAAUGUAUCUAAAGCCGUUCUUUGCGCUGCCGUUAACACAGCUCCUUCAUCAGGUUCGGCAACUCCCAAAGAAACAACAUCCCAAUACUCCUUGAACUUGAGAAAAUUCUCCAUUAGCAUGCUCCAAUGAUCAUAGUGACCAUCAAAGUGUGGAAUAGCAGGUUGUACAAAUGUUUCUGAGGCCAUUACUGCUGUUGCAAAAUAGAACCACCACAAAAGCAACCUGCUGCUGCUACAAACGAAAAUAACCUGCUGCAAUACUCUCCUUUGACUGCUGCAAACGAAAGUACUUGCUGUAAUAAAAACUCUCUUUUGGUUCUCACCUUUUUACAGCACUCAAACACACACUUUUCUUCCUAACCUCGGCUCUGAUACCAAUGUUAAAAAACAGAGGAGAUGCAGAUAUGUAGAUAUGCACAAGAGCAGCGUUAAAAACAGAGGAGAACAGAGGAGAUGUUGAUAUUCACAAGAACAGAGGAACCAUCUGCAGAACCACACACAUAAAAAACUGACACCAUAGCCUUUAUAUAGGCUUUACAAAAACAAAUAACCACCACAGCCCACUAACUUCACACGUACAGCAACCAAUCCACAUAAUAGAAGUGCGUAAUAGACUAUUAACACAUAAAAAACAAACCAGAAACAUUGACUUGUUCAACAAAAAACACGAUGUGGGGCCGUCAUGUAUGGACACAAGAAAAGAAAUCAACAAAAUAUUAACUUAGAUGGCAAGAAAUUUAUUCCUCUUCUUGUGACCUUGAGGUUUAAGCCUCGUUGGGAGUAUUUCACAAGUAAAAUUCUAUUUGAAUGUCCUAGACUGUUAUGGGAAAGUGCGCCUUUAAGAUCUUUUGAGGAGAUAGACUUGGCAAGAUGUGCCAAAGUUAGCUUGGACAACCAUUUAACUGUGAAUAUUAAAAAAAGAAAGAAGGCAUAAAUCAAGCACAUCUUAUUACGGGAACCAGAAGUACCUAGACAUCAAUCGAGCCAGAUGACUUAGCAAUGGCGAUAACUUUUGAUGUCCACUGCUCUCAACAGACGAUUCAUCGGUGGGAUCAUCUGUGGAUUUCAUCAGUCUGGAUGCAGAGGUGAUUGGUCUGCAACGUCCCUCACUGUAAUCAUACCAAGAUCGUCUUUGUCCUAGAUAGAAUGUCAUGCCACACACACAUUAGCUUACAAGAACUUGACUUGUGGCCCAUUCUCUUGCUAACCCCAUCUAAUUUCUAUCCAAUAUUGCUUCCAAAAGAUCAGCCCUCAGAGAUUUCACAAAGUCGUAAAGAAAGUUAACCACUCAUCUCCUUUUCACUACAGAAAACGAUUUAAAGAAAUUAAAGUUAGUCGUACCACCUAGUGAUGACAGUCAUUUAGUUAUUUUCACCGGAUAACUUACUGUAGGGUAAUUUAUCUUAAUCUAUCAACAACGUAGAAUGAUAUCGAUUACAACAAGACAUGAAUGUUAUAUGUUUGUUUUGAGGAAAUGAAACUAGAAUAGAUAUAAUGGUCUCGGAAAAUUAGGGUUUUAUCAAUUCCCCCGAUUUGGUUUUCAGUUUUUGGUUCCUAAAAUGAUGUAGUUGGAAACCAGACCAGGUCGAAAUGGAGCCUGGAACCAGACCUAUUCCCAUAGGUUUGGUUCUCUGGUUCUCAAAUCUACUAUAGAACCAUGCUCAUCCCUAAAUAUAUCCUAUCAAAUAUUUUUUUCCCAUGUUUUUGUGAUUUUGAAAUUGCAAUUGUAAAUUUCUUCCUUUUGGCAAUUACUAAAUUUGGUAUGGAGUUGGCAACUUAUUUUCUCAACUUAUGAGUAAUCUGCAGAUACUAGUAAAGUUCCUAAAUCAUCGGUGAUUUGGGAACGCCGGAUAGAAUUUUCGUAAAAUCAAUUUCCGGAAAUUUUGAACACAAAGAAAUAAAUGUCUCAAGAAUCUAACUGGAAAUUUGAAUAGCAGUUUUGGAGUUGCUUUCCUCUUACAUAAUCCGACGAUUGUCUUUGCUUGUUUGAAAACAAACGGUGUAGAUGUGCCGAGCAUGAUUAUUGGUCAACCCAUAGGAACGUUGGAGGUUGCACAAUCGAGGGCACUCUCGAUUUGGUGAAUCGUAGAAAUCAAGAUGGAUAUUUUUAUCUCCUUUCAUGUAAAUUAUUUAAUAUUAAUGAUAUAUCAAUAUAAAUGAACUUAAAAAUGCGCAAACAAAGAUUAUAAUAAUCUUUUAUAAUUCACAGCCAAUUCUAGUAGAAGAGAGAAAAUAUAAUCAUUCAUUUUUGUGAUUAUAAAAAAUAGUACUUUGACUUUCUCGCUACUUUGAAACUUCAAUAAUAACCACAAAAUUACAGAGGAGUUUCGACUCUUUCUUGAACUUUUGACAUGAACUAGAGAGUUACGAAAGAAAAGAAGUUCCGUCUCUUUUGCCAUUUUCACGGAACAUUGACGUGAACUAAAAAACCAUGGAGGAGCCAUGAAAUUUCAACGUGAACUAGAGAUAGAAAGGAGAUGGAGAGGGAGAUGGAGACGGUAGGUUUUUAUUUAUUUAUUUAAAUUUCGUUGCCCUCAUUUUUCGAGCAUUAGAAUGAUCUUUUUAAGUUUGAAUUGGUUCAUUUAAAAUCUAGGUUCUUCUACUUCAUUUUUAUUUACUUAAAUCUUUUAUUCCCCUCCAACAUUCCUUAAUAAAAAUUCUAUCAAAUAAUAUAUUAUACUAUUAUACCUAAAAUAUGUUAAAAAAUGAUAUAUUGAGGGCUUUGUGGCCCUUGCUUAGAGGGGGUUGUCGGCCCUCACCUAGUGGCCACCGACCAUGGCUAACCCUUUGAACUAAGAAAGAAAGAAAAGAAAAAAAAGGAAAUUUAAAAAAUAAAAAUUGAUAAAAAAAUAAAAAUUUGUUAAAAGGCUAACGCCUAUGCUUUUCUAAUUACGCUCUUAUUCUUUAAUAUGCCUAAUCAAGCCCUUCUACUUUUCAAUUAUUUUAAUUAACUCCCCCAACACCAAAUUCGAUCAAAUUCAGCUUAUAGGGCCACCGGAUAACACUAAAGUAUGACGAUAAAAUAUGCGGAUGCCCACAUAGAGGUGCGAGGAAAGCUAUAGCCAUGUACACAAUAUCAAAGCUUGAUAUGGAUAUAAUUUAGCUACUCUAAAAUCAAACCUACUAUGGCAUAUCGGGUUGAGACUUGAGAGAGUAUCUAUUCAAGCAACGAAAAUAGAGGGAAGUGACAAGUAAGGAAGACAAAUCGAGAAAUACAGAGAGAGAUGCUUAUCACAAAUAGGAUAAGAAGACAAAAAUAAAUUAAGCAUAUGUCAUCACAGAAACCGAAGGUACUUCAAAAAUCAACCGAGCAAGACGACGUAGAAAUGCUGAUAACUUUGUUGUCCACUGCUACAAUUCAUCCUCAGCUGAUCAUAUACGGAUACUGUGACGGCCCGAGCGAUCGUCCUAGGACGUGCACAAGGAAGGGUCCCUCUCUUCUCUUGUCUAACAUUGCCUAGGGAGGGAGGUUUUGGUUAGCUUAUAAGGCUUGGGUUCCUCUAAUAUUUGUAACGCGUUUUAAAGCCGUGAGGGAAAAGACCAUGGCUGGGAUGGCGGUUCGUCCGCGCUAGGACGGGUGACCCAAAGCGGACAAUAUUACACAGUGGGGCCCGGAAUGUUAUAGAUACGCUCGCCCCAGCAGUCUGGGUUUAGAAUGAUUACAUUUUGUUAGUCAUUUGCUAAUAUCAUCAUCGUCCUAUGUAAAAUAUCAUGCCACAUGACUAUUAAUGAAAAAUCUAUCAACAUAUGUAUGGCAAUGCAUUUUGAUAGAGCUUAUAAAAACACGAUCUCUGGCCCAUUCCCUUAAUGACACCUAAAAAUGAGAAAAAAACUAAUUUACAUUGAUUUCAUUUUUUAUUACAGUACAACAAUUAGUUUAGAAACCGAAAAGGAGUUUGCAAUUGAAAAUAGGAGUACUGGGCGAGCUAAAAUAGAAAAGGUAACAUAAUGAAAAGGUAAAAAAAAAAAGAAACGUGAAAACUAAUAAAGUAGAACUUAAGAAUUAGACCCGAUAUUUUGGCACUUUUAAGUGAAAUUGCCAUUAUUAUUCUUUGAACAAUGCCACAGCAACUAAUUUUCAAUGAUAAUAUAACCAUUUUGAUAUACUUUCAAGCUAUAAUAAAAGUUAUAUGCACUAGGCCUAAUAGUUAGUAUAAAGUUCGGAAAAGAAGAAAAGUGAUUUUUCCGUACCAUGGGAGAUCGAUGGUUAAAUGGAGAGAAUAAAAGAAACCAUGGGAGAUCGAUGGUUAAAUGGAGAGAAUAAAAGAAACGUGAAAAUUUUGGGUAACUCACAAUAAAUAAACUCGAUGAAGGGUUCGAGGGAGAUAGGGGCAAGGGGAUGGUCCCACUCCAGCGCUUGCCACGUCGCCUUGUUAUCUAUGAAAAUCUUUCCAAGGGAGGGGGGAGGAGAAAGGAGGCCAUUGUCAAGUAGGUGCAGUCGCAAAGGAAUACUCUUCAGCUCCGGACAAUCGUAUAUUUCAAUAUAUUGGAUGUGAUCGCAACUCUCCAUCCGAUCACAUAUCCUCUUCAGUUCCCAAAGAUUCUUUAGAGUCAAGUGUGUUAACUUUGGGAAGGAGGAUUGCGUCAUGUUCGGAGCAAUGCCUAUUAUCACCUCUAUGCCCUCGCAGUUUAUGAUUAUUAUAUCUCGGAGGAAAGGGAUGUGGAGCAACAUAUCGUGCGUUAGCAGCACCCCCUUCAUGGUGUUGCAUCUUACAAUUUUAAUCUCCAUAAGAAGACAAGUGGCACCGAUUGGCAAUGGCCCACCUAUUAUUUCCUCUAAUUUCUCACAAUAAAUUAUUCCAAUGGACUUCAGAUUUGGAAGGCGAGUGGUCAGCCAGUCCCAUUCCACCACUCUUUUCAUUUUAUGACAACAUUGCACUUCCGCAGAGUUUAGAUUGGGCGCAGCUAAAUCGAUCCCUUCCAGUUCCUCUGAGCCUGUGAUUGUAAACCAGCGUAGAUGUGGAAGCCCCUGUCCCUCCACUGAGAGACGCUUCAAUUUGGAACAGCAAUUGAUGUCCAGUCCCUCCAGCUGAGGGAAGUGGACAGCACCCAGCUCCUCCAACUUCUCGCAAUCUAGAAUCUUUUAUAGUCAGCUCCUUUAGAUUCUCCAGUGGGCCUACCUCACUCAAACUUGUCACCCCACUGCCCCCUCCUACUUCCAGUACUUGCACAUUUCUCGGAAGCAAAUUGCGGCCUUCCCCACCGAUAAGUCCAUCUACCCUUUGGCGUAAUAGCAUCGCGACUUUCAAUACGUACACAUAUCCUCUGCUCAUGCCAAUUGGAAACGCCUUGUUCACGAGGUUUUACACAAAACAAUUCAAAGAAAUUAGAUACUUGAAUGUAAACAACAUGAAGAAAUUAGAGACUUCCCUGACUAAUCAAGCUUAAUCAAAUUAAACAGAAAGAAAUUCAAUAUGUGCAAAUAUGCAAUUGGAAGUCCAAGAACAGGUGUUCCUUUCUAAAAACGAGUAAGACUAAUUUACACUGGUUUAAUUUUUUGAUUAAAGUGCAGAGAUUAAUUUAAAAAGCAUGUUAGAGUUCGAAAGCGAAAAUAGAAGUACUAGAUGAGGGAAAACAGAAUAGGCAACAAAAAGAAAAUGUAAAAAGCAAUUAACAUGCUCCUUUAAACUCGCCCAACCCAUGAAGUAGAAGUCAGGAAUUGAUUCUAUAUUUUGGCACUUUUAAACGUCAUAAUUUACCAAAAUGAAGAAGAAGUGUAGUAUUUUUAAGGUACAAUAGGUUAAAAAGAGAGAGAGAGAGUGAGGACUGUUCAGUAUUAUCCUUUCAAAGUGAAAGGUGUGUUUUCUUUAUCGAAAUUUCAAUAAUAAUAUAACCAUUUUGAUAUACUUUCGAGUUGUGAUAAAAGUCAUACACACUGGGUCUAACAGUGUGGUAUUAAGUUUCCCCAAAAAAAAAAGAGGGAAACUUACUGUACCGCGGGAGUGCAUCCUUCGAAAGGCCCACAGGAGAUGGAGAGGAUAAAAGAAAAUUAAAAAUUUGCGGGUGACUUACCAUAAUCCCAGGCUAAGUGUCGAAGUGAAGGAUGGAAAGGGGAAUGGUCCCACUCCAGCGACUGCCACGUCAGCUCAUCUAUCCAAAUAUCAUCAUCUAUCCAAAUACCAUAAUCAUCGCAAGGACCCUUGUCAAGCAGAGGAAGCCUCUUCAGCUUCGGACAGUCUUCUAUCUUCAUAUAUUGGAUUGAAAGCCAACUCACGGUCCCUUCACAUAUGGUCUUCAGCUCUGGAAGAAUCCUUGAAAGUCAGGUUUAUUAAAUGUAGGGGCUGAACGAAGCUCAUUAUCGGCUCUACGCUAAUGCAGCCUGGGACCACUACAUGUUGGAGGAAAGGAAGGUUGAGCAACACGUCAUGCCUCAAGUUGCUGCAUCCUUCUAUAUCAAUCUUUGUAAGACAACAAGGUGCACCGAUCGGCGGUAGCCCACCUACUAUCUCCUCUAGUUGCUCGCAAUCUUUUAUUUUAAUGGACCUUAGAUUUGGAAGGUGAGUGGCUAGCCACUGCCAUUUCACCACCCACUUCAUUUUAGGACACCUGUACACUUUUAUAUUAUAAAGAAAAGGUGCCGCUAUAUUAAUCCCCUCUAGUUCCUCUGAGCCCUCGAUUUUUAACCAUUGUAGACAUCGGAGCUCGUGCCCCUCCUUCAAGAAAUGCUUCAGUUUGGUACACCGAGUGAUAUUCAGUCUCGGUAGGCGAGGGAAGUGGACAGCACCCAGCUCCUCCAGCUUCUCCCAUUCCUUUAUCUUCAGCUCCUCUAGAUUAUUAAGUGGGCCUACCUCGCACAAACUUGUCACCUCAUCGCAUUGUCCCACUUCCAGUACUUGCACAUUUUUGGGAAAUAGAGCGCGGCCAUCCCCACCAAUUUCUCCAUUUACCAUUGCCGCAAUACUAUGGCAACUUUCGAUGAUUAUACGCCUCUCGUGCUUAUUAUCCCUAAAGAAGUAGUUUCCUGAUAAACUCAGUGCCAGGUCAUAUGAUUGGGAGCUGUUUUGCUCGACAAGCCUCACACAUGCAUUGAAUGUUUCAACAUUUGGAACAGAGCAAUAGAAUCCUUCCACUGAGCAAUAGAAUCGUUCCACCAAUGUUAAUUCUAUCACUUCCUCCCAUGCCAUAUCGUAAUUAAUCACCAGAUAUUGCAAGUUCACCAGCUUCCCCAACACUCCUUCUGGUAACCCCUUGAUCUAUGUGCCAAGCAGGUCAAGGUACGUUAGCUUUACCAGCAUCUCCAUUCCCUCCGGCACUUCUCCAAGCAUAACACACCCACUAAGGUCCAACUUUUUUAGAGCUUUGAACUUUCGUACACAAGGUACACAAUGUAAUUCCUUACACUCUCGGAGUAACAGUGCUUCUAAGCUCUCCAAGUGAGAUAUAGUGUCCGGUAAUUCCGUGAUUUUUGUUUUGCUGAGAUCUAGAACCUUCAACCCCUUCAUAUGCUUGAAGAAAGAUUUGUGGAUGGCUUCCAAAGAGACAUUGUUAUCCAACGACAGCCUCAUAAGUUUAGGGCAAUUUGGCGAUAUGCCGUAUGGGAUUUCUUUUAUAUCGUUGCUUUGUAAAAAGACUUUCUCUAGGUGAUCGGUCCAGAACUUAUCCUUUGGAAUCUCUUUCAAUCCCAUGUUGGCCUUGACCAUGUGAGUUGUGCUCGUCACUAUUUGCAAUGCCAUGUCCCUUAUCAAGGGGUGUACUAACAGAUAUUCUGUGUCUUUAUCAACCCCCAGGCAAGCCUUUUUUAUUUUGUCCAAUAUGGUGUUACCUUUAUUGUGCAAUUCUUGCCGAGUGGCUAUUCCACUUAACAAGCCCUCAUCCAUGAAAGAUUCUAUCAAAACCUUUUCGAUGAUUUCAGCUUUAGAGUACUCUCCAAAACAGAGUAUUAAAUGCAAGAAAGACUGCUGCACUUGAAGAUUACCCAAGUUCAUGUAACUGAGUUUCAGUUUCUUGAACACACCAAGUUCCAUCAUCGAAUUUUCUAAUUGCUGCAACAAGUCUUUCCAUUCAUGCACUCCCUUUGGUCCCCUCAUCUGAGUUGCAAUCUCAAUGAUCCCAAGUGGCAAACCUCCACACUUAUCCAAAAUGGAGCUUGCAAUUUUUUUAACUUCUGAAGGGAGGUCUCUCCCAAAGCAAAGCUUUUUUAAAAAUAAGACCCAACAAUCAUCUCGCAAAUCUAGAGGACCUAUUUUGACUUGUUUUUGGCAGACCAUCUUCUCAUAUACAUCUAGCAAUCGAGUUGUCAUUACCAACUUAAUGCUUCCUUUCUCAACUGGAAUUCCCACAUCCUCAAUGUCAAAGUGCAUCGACAGACCAUCUAAACAUAAGACAGCUCUCUUUCUCUUCAAAUGCCUAUUCAAUAUGCAUGCCCUCCUCUUCACAUCCUUAUCCAUUGAGAGAUUGUCUAGUCCGACUACAUUGGCAAUCUCGUUUUGUAGUUUAUAGAUGCUAAACUUCCGAGGUACAGUGACCCAGAACACAUCAUUAAAGUUAGGAUCCUCAAGUACUCUAUUAUGGACAUGCAUUAGAAUGGUUGUCUUGCCAACUCCCGCCAUUCCAUAAAUACCAAUGAUGACAAUCUCAUCCUCCAUUAGAUAGUUGCAAAUCUUAUUUAUUGUCUUCUUACUUUCCUUGUCUACUAGCCCUGUUGUUACCAAGGGUGAACUAUUCCUACGUCCAGCAGCAUGUGUUGUCCACCCUUUUCGGAAGCUACAGUGGCCUAGAAUAUCUUAAACUUCUUUGCUCAAAUCAUUUACUCUUUCUACCUGCUGUGGAGAAAGAGAUCUACCUUCUCGGAAUGCUUGGACCAUGCUCCAGUAUUCUCCUCUUAUCCUUUGUGCUUUCCUACACCAUGUCUCCAACCCAUCCAUGUCUGCUUCUCGAUUGCUUAGUUCUUCCAGCUUUCUUUUCAGAGUUGGCAUAUUCUUGUCAACCAGCCCACAAGCACCUGGUUGACCAUCCACGAGUGCAUCAUCUGUCCUCGCAUCUAACAUCAAGGAAAUACUCAGUAUUUUCUAGAAACAUAAUGUUCACAAAACAAUAUGAAAUAAGACGAAAUGUAAGGUUGUGUAUAUAUAAGAGAAAGAAAGGCGGGGGGGGGGGUGCCUUGGGGGUCCUUGGGAUUGGGCGAGAGAAAGAGAAAGAGAAAGAAAGGGGGCGAGAGCAUUUGCCCUGUUGCUGGGUUUAGUUGCUAUCGGUUUGCUUUGAGCUGUUGAUGGGUUCAGGUAGUAUCUGGGCCUGUAUGGGAUGGGUUGAAUUGAUAUUUUGACCAGUAUAGGAUGGGUUGAAUCGUUAUUUAGGCAUGUAUGGGAAGUGGUUCUCCCUGUAUUUUACAUUAAUAUAAAAAGUUGAAAAUUGAAGUAUGUAUUUUAGCAUAAAUUACUCGUGAAAACGUAUCAUAUUUCAUAUGAAUCUUCAUGUUUUAAACAAAGUGCAAUUCCAAGUAAUAUAUAUUAGUGUAAAAUAUAUGGACUUGAUAACAGUUAGGGAAUUUUUAAUGGUAGUUAUUACAUGACAUAAAGGAAUAUGUAUGAAAUCAACUCCAUUACUGUCAUAUUAAGAGAAAAUAAUAAAAUCUUUCAAAUAAAUAUUUAAAAAGGAAAAAAAAGAGUUACAAAGAAUGUUUGAGAUUUCAAUAAUUGCUAAUUUGCAACAUUAGAGAUUAUUAAAACUAAUCCUUUUUCCUCAUGGUAUUGAAUGGGGUAAGUAAUCCUAGUUAAAGGCAAAAUGAGUGGAGAGUGCAACAAAAUACCACUUGCAAAGAGAAUAAGCAAUCUCUUUCAAUUUAGACUCCUAAGUGUCACUUCUAAAGGCAACACUCAAGAAUGAGCUUGUUAUUAUAUAUUUUUAUAGAUGCUAACAUUUAUGUAUCUAUUCUUUCAAAAUGUUCGAGCGGUACAAUACUAGAAAAAUUUAGAUCAACCCCAUAAGUUAAAAGUAGAAGUUAAAAAUAAAUGUCCCCUUAACCAGACCCUAAGUUGAAAUUUGAAAUUUGAAAUUUGAAAUUUGAAAUUAAAGCCUUAAAAAAAGGAGAUAUACCUCAUAUCUACAUCUAAGGUAUGAAGACUAAUAUCCCAACUGUUCUAUAAAAAAAGAACUAUACUUGCUUUCAAUUGGAUCAUUGAUUGGUGGGUGACCCAUUUGAAUGUCACUCAAACGCGAUGGUAACUAAUAGCACCAGGAGAAAACUGAACCAUAUAUUAUCGAUGGCUUGGAGACAAUGCAUGACAAUAUUUUGUCCCAUUAUCGUACUUUUGUUAAUGUCCCAACAAUUCCAACCAUACUUAUUCAAAAAUAUGAAAACAAGCAAUAUUCAUAUAAUUUAAAUUUAAGAUGAAUGAAGGUGCUGUUAGUUAAAAUCUCAUAUAGGCGGCAUUUGAAUGUGAAAACAAUCAAUUAAAGGAUGAUUUGGAGGUAAGUAUGAAUCAUUGAAAGAGCAAAUAAUUUAUUGUACGCUGUCAGAAAAUAAUCAUAUGUUUAUGAUGACUUCUUUUCUGUCAUUACAUAUUUUGUGAUCCGUCGAGAAGCAGUCAAUUUAAAUUUUAGGUUCAUCUAAUACUUUUUAGUUUGAAAUUAAAGUAUUUAGAUAUGAUCAAAUGCAUGAUUAAAGAUAAUUCCUAUCUCUGUGCGGUUGACAGACAUCAAAGGUUCCCAUGAAAUAUCUUUUAUGCAGCACUUUACUUUAAAUUACUAACAGUAAUUGGCAUAUAAACCUUGUAAUUUUAUUUCCAAUAAAGAUUUCGUGUUGUUAAUUUUCUUGAAAUGUGUUGCUUGGCCAAGAAAUAUGAGAUCAGUACACAUUUGGACUCGUUUAAGGGGAAACAAGGAAAUUUUCAUGAAUUUUGUGAAGUCGUCAAGACAAUACCAGUCCCCUUGACACAUCGAAAAUAUUUUGAAAACUGGAAAGUGCCUACCAAAUGCAUGCUUACCCCUUCUAUGCAUCCUCUUUUUUAAUUUGGAAGUGGUUUUGGUAAUUCGUUAGGGAAACAUGGAUGAAAUAUGAAAUGAUGUUCACAAUUUUGGCACACGAGAUUGAAAUAUACUCUCUCUCUCUCUCUCACGUAGGUGAUUUGAGGGGAAAGUUCACUGAUCAAGCGAUCUCAUAUACACCUCCCUCCCUCCCUCCCUCCCUCCCUCCCUCCCUCUCUCAGCUCCCAUGGUUCACACGACUCUGUUCCUUUGUUUAAAAGUAAAUGCUCUUCACGUAGGUGAUUUGAGGGGAUAGAGAGAGCCAUGGCUUUUCAAGAUUUGAAUGUCACACUUGAAAAGCAUUUGUCUGUUCAUUUUCAAAGAACUAUUGAUUAUUAUUGACCGACUCUUAAACUUCUCUGUUCAUUUUCUAUUACUAUUAGGAAUCUAAAUGUCCUGCUAUAUCCAAAUUCUUAGGUAAGGAUUAGAAAACAAAUUCGGUAUCCUGCAUGAGCUUUUAGCAUAUGGUGAAUUUCGAAGUUGCACAUACCUUGUGGAACCUCUGCAUUGGGUUCUCCCCCUUCUACAUUUACUUGGGGUGGCAUGUGAGUCAAAGCUUCAGGUGCAAGGUCUCCGCCGCUGCUGGGAUGACUCAAAUUCCAUGGCUGAAUGUUAGAAUUAAUGCCAUGAGAUUGAGGAGGUUGUGUCCAGAAUAAAAUGUCCCCAUGUGUGGUCAUGUUUUGAGUAGGAAGAUACUGACUGGGCACAUUCAUCUCAUGCAAUGGAUGAAAGUCUGAUGAACUUGCACCUACAGUGCUUAUGGCAUUAGAGCUCAGGUAUGGCAUGGCAACAAAUGAAGUCUCUCUCCGACCAUCUUGAUUGCUUGCAAUCACAGGCUGACCAUCUUCAUUGCUUGCAAUCACAGGCCAACCAUUGCUUAUGGCAUUAGAGCUCAGGUAUGGCAUGGCAACAAAUGAAGUCUCU